rnacentral:lncRNA from 1 species
GAAUACAAUACUAAAUAGCAGUAUUUGGGAGCUACCCUAUGAUAAAUGUGACAUUCUUCCGGCUCUUGGGUUGAGUUACCAUUAUCUCUCCUCCCAGUUAAAACGAUGCUUUGUUUAUUGUUCAAUUUUUCCAAAGGAUUAUGAGUUUAAAAAGGAAGAUAUAGUUCAAUUUUGGAUCGCAGAAGGUUUAAUUCCAAAAGCUGAGAAUGGAAAGAGCAUAGAAGCGGUAGCUAGAAAAUACUUUGAUGAGCUGUUGGCACGAUCGCUAUUUCAAAAGUCAAGCAAAUCCGGUUUCACAAUGCAUGAUCUCAUUAAUGACUUGGCCAUGUUCAUGUGUAAGGCAUUUUGCCUUAGGCUAGAAGGGGGGGAAUCACAUGACGUAGAAAAAGUUCGGCAUUUUUCAUAUGCUAUAGAAAGAUUUGAUGCAGCUCCAAAAUUUAAGCCAUUACAUGGGGCUAAGUUUAUGCGGACCUUUCUACAAGAUUUGUUGCCAUCACUAAGAUGUUUACGGGUGUUAUCAUUGUCACGUUAUCAAAAUGUUACUGUGUUACCUGAUUCUAUUGCAAACCUCAUUCACUUGCGCUACUUGGAUCUUUCCCAUACCGCUAUUGUUUCUCUCUCCUUGAAUUGCCUACAGACAUUAGAAAAUUGAUUAAUUUACAGAAACUGACGUUGAGAGGUUGUACGUCUCUUAAUAAAUUGCCUGCAGGCAUGAAGGAGUUGACUAAUUUGCAUCAUCUUGAUGUCAGUGGAACUAAAAUUGAAGAGAUGCCGGUGCAAAUGGGUAGAUUGAAAAGUUUGAGAACAUUGACUGCAUUUGUUGUGGGCAAAUCUACUGGGUCAGGCAUAAGAGAACUGAGGGAGUUCCCGCAACUUCAAGGAAAACUAUCAAUUUUGAAGCUACAAAAUGUAGUUGAUGCGAGGGAUGCACUGCACGCCAAUAUGAAGCACAAGAAAGAUCUCAAGGAGUUAGAGUUUUCAUGGGGUACGGAGGAUGCUGAUGAUUCCCAAAAGGAGAAAGAUGUACUCGACAAGCUCCAGCCUUGCAUGAAUUUGGAGAAAUUAACCAUCGGAUUUUAUGGUGGAACCAAUUUUCCGAAUUGGUUAGGAGACUCGUCUUUUUCUAACAUACGAGUCAUGCAUCUCAGUGACUGUAGUUAUUGUUGGUUGCUCCCACCAGUUGGACGGCUACCGGCACUCAAAGAGCUCUGUAUAGAAAGAAUGAAGUCUUUGAGGACGAUUGGCGUUGAAUUCUAUGACAGAGAUGGAGCUUAUCUGACUCAGCCAUUUCGAUCUCUGGAGAAGCUAGAGUUUAGGGAGAUGCCGGAGUGGGAGGAAUGGGUACCAAGUGGAAGUGCAAGUGGAGGUGAAUAUGGUCCAGACUUUCCUCGUCUCCAGGAGCUGAUUCUAAACGAGUGUCCGAAGCUAAGAGGAAGUUUGCCUUGUGAGUUGCCUUGCUUGAAGAAGCUUACGGUGUAUGGGUGUGAGGUUUUACAUGAUGGAAGGGCGGCUACCGCAACUACCAAUAGUCUUAACUAUAAAUCUCUGGAAGAAUUGGAUAUACAUGGUGGAUGCCAAACUCUGUUAUCAUUAUUAGAGACAAAGCUCCUGUCCCGACUUGACAGACAGUGCUUGCCCAACUGCAAUCGUCUUCAAAGUUUGACUCUUUCGAAUUGUCCAACGCUGUCGUCGUUUCCUAAAGAUGGCCUACCCAGUACGUUGACAUCACUUGAUAUAAACAAUUGUAGGAAAUUAGAAUUCCUACCUCAUGAGAUGUUGGCCAAAUUAACAUCGCUUGACUAUUUGUGCGUACAAAAUAGCUGUGAUUCAAUGAGGUCCUUCCCGUUGGGCAUUUUUCCCAAAUUGACGACGCUUCAAAUUCGUGGUUGUGAGAAUCUGGAAUCUUUUUCCUUGAUUGAAGAAGAAGGAGCUGUUGAGAAUCUUAGCCAUCUCAAUGACUUGCAAGUCUCUAAAUGUCCAAAAAUGGUGUGUUUUCACGAGGGAGAAUUGCCCACUCCCAACCUGAGUCACUUUGUAGUCAGUGAUUGCGAGAAUUUGAAGUCAUUGCCCGAACGCCUUCACACCCUCACAGCCCUUCGAUAUUUGUCGAUAUGGAAUCUUCCGAAUCUGGAGUCAUUUGCAGAAGAUGGGGGUUUGCCUCCCAACCUCCGAUCUUUUAGCAUUUGGAAUUGUAAGAGACUGAGGGCUUCAUCAGUGGGAGAGUACUGGGGUUUGCAAGCACUUGACUCCCUUGAGAUCGAUGGAAGUGACCAUGUCUUGGAGACGUUGCUGUUCCCUGCCACUCUUCACACUCUCCGCAUCUCUGAUCUAUCAACUCUGAAAUCUUUGGACGGAAAGGGUCUUGGACACCUCACUUCUCUUCAAAAGCUAGAAAUUGACAGCUGUCCAAGUCUGGAAUUACUGCCAGGAGAGGAACUUCAACACCUCACUUCUCUUCAAACUCUAAUUAUUAGUUCGUGUGGCAGUCUCCAAUGCCUGCCAGAAGAGGAUUUGCCGUCAUCUCUUUCUCAUCUGAGUAUCUGGCGGUGUCCUCCCCUGGAGAAAAGGUAUAAGAAUAAGACGGGACAAGAUUGGGCAAAGAUAUCUCACAUUCCUUGCAUCAAGAUAGGAUACGAACUGAUCAUAUAAUAUGAGCUAUUCCAUAUUUCAUGCUCAACCCUCAACUCUCAAAUCAAAGUCAGGUGAGGUGUGUGCCUUCUCUUACUUUAAAAAACUGCUUCUCUUCUUCUAAUUGAAUACAAAAACCAAAACACAUAUUCUCUUUCUCUUCCAAAAACCCAAAUACAUGUUGGACAUUGCCCAAAUUUGAUCUCCAAAUUCCUAAUUAUUUCACGCUUUUUGUUAUUUUAUGGUUGCUGGUCACAAAUUAUAUCCUACUUGGAGUAUCAAAUGCUGAAUAAUUAGCAGUCUUUUUGCAGGACGACAUACCUUCUCUUGGCCCUUGGGGAGCUUUUCAAAAUUUGCAAGGUUUCUUUAUGUGGCAUUUCCAGAGGAGGGUCACAGGGCGGAGAAACAGAAAAGGUUUACCUGGAAUAUCUCAUACAUUCCUGCAUGUAGGCAUCAAAUGUACACCAUUUUUAGGUACUUUUAUAUGAAAAAAAUUGUAUUUGAGUCUCAUUUGCACUAGUUUAAAUCAAAUUUAAUGCCUAUGGAUAGUCUAUUAAUAGGUUCAUGCCAUGAAUUAAUCUUUGGACUUUCCCAGGUACUGCAGGUUUGUUAUUAAUGUUGUGGCUAGGUUGUCUUACGUUGAGGAGAGAGAUCGAUCAGCAAUUACAAAAUUGUUAGCGAAUUUAGUUUGUUUAUCAUCUCUCUCCUUUUGUUUGUUAAGUUUUGUUGUUCUAGGUUAAACCCUUGUCCCCGCAUUUCACAGCAACUCUGUGUUAUUCCACUCUGUUUAGAUUUCAUUUAUGUUGUGAUUCGACUGCUGCUGUAUUUUAGAUUUCGUUCAUGUAAUGUUAGGAUGUUUAAUCUCUGAUCUGUGGUGGUAGUUGAGUAGUUGAGUAGUCUAGUUAAUCCAGUAGAUAACUUGUCCCCUGUUUUGUAUUGUUUUUAUUUCUCUGGUAAUGAAAGCACGUUUCUUAUAAAUAAAUAAAAAAUAUUUCAUUGAUAUUCAUUGCUUAUUUUGAACUGCAGAAGCCUACUUUUGUCAGAGUCAGUAGAUGCCAGAAUGAAGUCAUUGCCUAAACACAUUGGCACCCUCACAGCCUUCGACAUUUUGGGAUAUAUGAUCUUCAAAAUCUUGUGUCAUUUGCCUCCCAACCUGCAAUAUUUUCAUAUUUUAAAUUGUGACAGACUGAGCCCUUUGGUGGGAGAUUACUGGGGUUUGCAAGGACUUGGUGGCAAUAUCUUGUAGACGUUUCUCAAGGAACAGCUGCUCAAUGCCACUCUUCGCACUCUAUAUAUUAUGGCCUGUCAGUCUAAAAUUCCUGCCAGGAGAGGAACUUGAACGCCUCUCUUCACUGCAAAGGCUACAUAUUUGUGGGUGUGACAAUACCCAAUUCCUGCCAGAAGAGCGUUUGCUGCCAUCUCUUUCUUAUCUGUGCAUCGACCAUUGUUUUGCCAUGUAGAAAAGGUAUCUCACAUUCCUUGCGUCAAGAUAGGUGAAGAAGUGAUCAUAAGGUAUGAGCUCUCUCUCCCUCUCGCUCACAUACAAAGUACUUAAACACUCAAUCUGAUUUCUAUUAUUAUUUUGCUCAGUAAAUUUUGUUUAAAUUUGCUUUAUUUCUCAUUGCGCUUGUUCUGCUUAUCACAACUUAUAUCCUAUUUAAAUCUCAAAUGCUGAAUAAUUAGCAGGCUUUUCGCAGGACAACAUAUCUUCUCUUGGAGAGAUAUUCAUUUGCAAGGUUUCUUUAUGUGUCAUUUCCAGAGGAGGGUUUACUAUUUAAUAGAAAGGUUCACCUGGAAUAUCUCAACUGACACAUUCCCAAAUACAAGCAUUGAAUGCACAACAUUUUGAGGUACUAUUUUUGUAAUAAAAAUGUACUUGAGUCUCAUUUGAGCUAGUUUAAAUUGUAUUCAAUGUCUAUGGAUAACCUGUGAGCUUAAGUAGUAAGAUAAAACUCACAGUAUAUUAUUAGGGUUUAGGGUUCAACAGGUGAGCUUUAGUUGUACUUUCCUAGGUACUGCAUGUAUAUUAUCUUCGUAUCAACAGGUGGUCUUAUGUGGACGAGCGAGAACAUUGAGGAAUUACAAAAUCUUCUUAGCUUGUUUCAGCUCUGUUUGUCAUCCCUCACAUUUUCUUUGUUAAGCCUUGAUUUUUUAUUAGACAUAAGAAAAAAUGCUUUUAUAAGACAGGAGAUGAAUGCUUUUAUAUGUUGAUGUCAUAGUCAGUCUUCAACCACACUCUGUUUUUAGAAUUCAUUUAUGUUACAAGUGGAGUGCUGCUGUAUUUUAUAUUUCGUUCCUGUAAUGUUUGGAUGUUUAGCUUGAGUAGUCUAGCUUAUCCAGUAGAUAACUUGUCCCCUGUUUUGUAAUGUUUUUGUUUCCUCUAAUGAAAGCAGGUUUUACUUAUCUUGAAUUGCAGAAGCCUACUUUUUGACAUAGGUGGCAUGGCACAAACUCGCAUCCGCAUUUCCUUCCCCAUUGGCAUGCUGUCUCAUCUUUUCUAUUCUGUUACCAGCUUGAAGCUUGUGUAGACAUGUUAUGCUCUUGUAAUUCUGAUCACAAACAUCACUUGACAAAUGGAAAGUCACAAUCAGAUCUUUCAGGUGAUCUGGAGGUUUACUUUCUAACAUUUGUUUUCGUGGGGGGGGGGGGGGAGGACAACAAUACAGAAUUUAAAAUUUCUGAUAAUCAAUAGUAGUUUGCAUAUAUCAGCUGGGACCUGUAUGACUGUAUUAUGUAAUUAAUUAUUCUCUUAUUGUUUUGGUACUGUUAAAAGGAGUUAGCCACACAAAAUAAAAAAGGAGGCCUCUUAUUUCAUACUAAUCGUCUGGUCCAUCUGCUGCUUCACUCCCUAGUAGCUUCAUCUCCUGUCCUUUGCUUUAUUUCUGUUAUUUAUUUUGAUUUCAUGUCCAUUGCUUCAUUUCUGUUUGGAUUCUUAAUUAAAUCUGUCCUGGACUUGAACAAGGGUUAGGUUAGCUGUAUAAUUUGCGGUUUUAUAUACACAACUGUCUACAUUGAUUAAAACCAGCAUUAUUCUAAGGUUCAUUUAGAAUGUAUUAUCACCAAAAUUAUAAAGUAUACUUCUAUUACAAUUAAUUUGUUGAUUCUAAUUUGGACUUGUAGGAACAGACCAAACAUGUUCAUAUGUGGCAUUGCUCAAGUCAUCAUCAUUCGGGACAGAGAAUAAGCCUUCAAAUGUCUGCUGAGUCAAUGAACCUUUCUAGAUAUCUCAAGUGUAAUGGAAAUUGAUGAGUUACAAAGGAUUUGUAAACAUUUUCUACUGGAGGCUAGAAAUGCUUCAAAUAAAUGACUGUGUUGCAAUUAUUUUGUAGGAUCAAAGACUCUGCAAAGAGGUAAGAAAGUCAUCAUCAAAUAACUUUGCUCUUCAAACUUUUUAUUUUUAUUUUUAAAUAUCAGUAAUAACUGGGAAAGCUUGCAUCUCCUUAAAUUGCUCAUUCUUACAUCUUUUAUAGUUUGUUGAUCUUGGGCAAGUGGAGAGAGAGGCGUCAAGUGAUACACAACAACCAUUUUCUGUGAGCUGAUUUGAUAAAGAGAAAUGGUAUGCUUUCUUGUCUUAAGCGGUGUGUUCUGCAAUUAUUUGAAACAAAGGAUGCCGCACUUCAAGUUCGAGAAAAUCAGGUAUUUUAGUAUUUUAUUCUUGAGAAAUUUGAUUUAUGUAGAAACUUGAACAUGUAAAUGAGAGAAAUAUAUAUAUAUAUAUAUUAUAUAUUGUAUAUGCUGUUAAUGAGUUAAUAUGGUGCUUGCUCCUAGUUGGAAAUUUAUGUAGUCAUCUACCUAUGAUCAAAUAAAGAUGAAAAAUAAAAUAAAAUUGAGAGCAUCUUCCUCUCCCCUGCUUUGCUCAUCCCUUGUUCUUCCACUUCAGCCCCACUAUUACACCAUUUUUUCAGCCACAAUUAUAAUAGCUCCAUGAGCAUAUUAACAUCAGUGGCCACAGUUCCAUGAUUUGAGUGCACAGAAAGGUUUCAAAAAUUGUCCCAAAAGUACAGUCGUUCAAAGUGAAAGAGAGUUUUCAAAGCUUAAUUACAAGUUCAUGUUAUUUACAAUAGCAAAAAGCUUUCAUUCUUGCUUACAAACUUGUAUUUCCAAGUUCUGUAAACCUUGGAAUUUCACUUCAUCCAAAUCCCCUUCCAAAGCAGGAAAAAAUGGCAGCAGCUUUGAUUGGAGAGGCUCUCAUCUCUGCUUCUAUCGAGGUGUUGUGUGACAGAGUUACUUCAGCCGAGUUCAUAGACUUAUUUCAGCAGAAGAACUUGAUGAAACACUCCUCAUGAACCUGAAGACAACACUGUUGAUUUUGUUUGCGGUGCUCAAUGAUGCAGAGGAGAAGCAAAUUGUGAACCCUGCUGUGAGAGAGUGGCUUAACAGCUCAAGCAUGCUGUCUUUGAUGCAGAGGACUUAUUUGAUGAGAUUGACACUGAAGCUUUGCGAUGCAAGCUGGAAGGUGAGGAUCAAACCCACAAUAGUUAACCAACAAGGAUCUUUUUGAUUGUUUGAAAGAAGAGUCUUUGAUGAUUUGAAAGGAGAGGGUUGCUUUAUUUCUGUUGGAUGCGUAAUUAAAUCUUAUUUGGAGUUGAACAAGGAUUAGAUUAGCUGUAUAAUUAGUGGUAAACGCCUUUUUCUAAGGGUCAUUUAGACUCCUAUUACGAUUAAUUUGUUGUUUCUAAUUUGGACUUAUAGGAACAGACCAAAUAUGUUCACACGUGGCAUCGCUCAAGUCAUCAUCAUUUCAGACUGAAAAUCAGCCUUCAAGUGUCUGUUGAGCCAAUAAACCUUUCUAGAUAUAUCAAGUGCAAUGGAAAUUCAUGAGUUACAUAGAGAUUUGUAAACAUUUUGAAGAUUGCAACACCUGCAAGUGAGAUAGGCGGUGACGAAAUCAGAGCUGAUUUUGAAGCCUCUGAUGCCCCUGUUGUUGCAAGUUGCACCUGAGAACAUGUUUUUUUUUUCUUUGGGGUAAAAAAACUGGCAACAUGUUCGGAGCUGACAAUUCAAUCCCUGAUGAACUAGAGAAGCGAAGCUCCGGUAAGGAAUUGGUCAAGGUUGUGACAGGGAUGAUUGAUGGUGAAAUGGAUGCUAUUUCUUAUUGCAGCCUGUUCUCAAAGUUCUUGUUGGCAAAUGCAAGAGAUGGAGUAUUUUGAUUGGGAGGAGAUAUAAUGACAUGGCUUGACAAUUCUAGAACAGCCCAUCAUUAAUCCCAGAAAAAAUCCAGUUUCUGCUAAACAAUCACUUAUGGCAAGGCCAACUCUGUAAAUGGAAUUUGUGAUCCCUUGAAAUUGUACACAUUUUUUCUUUUUGAGGAAUUUAAUCAAACAGUAUUCUAAUGUAUUAUGAUAGCACUACACGCUUUUGUUGUAACAAAUUACAAGGAGGAAUUUGGAUUGAGUUUCUUGUAUAAGCACACCUUACACAAAUUUGGUAUAUUUUCUUCCAGCAAGUCUGUUUAUUAACCCCCUUAUCUGAAAUUAAUUGUUAAAAGUUUUGAUUCAUCUUUAAUCAGUGUCUAACCCUUGUUGAAUAACACUCCUCUUUCUAAUUUAUAUUUGAAGUUUGAGGUUUCAAUUUCAAUUGUGGGCUUUGAUUUUACAGAUUUUGUUUGUCAAUUUCAGUUUGGACAAAGCAUAUGCAAACAAAAUAAGCAUUUUAUGUUAUACUUUUGAAAUAGGUGUUGAUUUGAUUUAAUCAUAAGUUUUGCUGGUGCAUUUACUAGGCUAUCAUUCAAUACUUUUGAUCAUAGAACUUCUUUGGUCGAUAUUAUCUUUGUUAAGUUUAACCAUAAAUUUAGAGAGGGGACUUCAACAGAUUUAUAAUCUCAUCAUUAUAGUAUUAAAAAUUAGAGAUUAAGGCAUUGUCUAUUAUCUGAAUUCUGCUUACUUUUAGUUCAUAUGUUUACAUCUUAGCAUAUUCAUGCGAUUAGUGCGGCUCAUACCACAAAGGCAACUUUAGGCUCAUCAAGUGCUAAGCAAUGUCAAGCUUCCAAGUGACAAGUUCUCUACAUAGUUUGAGACCUACACUUACUAGAUAUUAGAUCAUUUCGAUCAUUUCCAUAUGUUUAUAUGUAAUUGACAUGUUAUAACAAUUUUUGUAGCGUUAUAUAAUUAUUUAGCAAUUUAAUUAUUUCUUUGCAUCAAGAAAUAGUUCUUAAGUUAUUAAAAAAAAAAAAAAAGAUUUAAAAAAAAAGAUUUGUUGAUGCUUAAAAAGCAUCAAGAACAGGUAGUUUCUUGACGGUUUAGUGACGUUUCAUAACUGUAGGAGGCUUUUUCUUCCGACAGCUGUAAAUGGGCUGGGUUGCCGUAAAGGGCAGACUGAUGAAAUUGUCCCCUUUUGUCUGAGCUAGAAAAUUAAGCCCCAAAAUACUUCGAAAGGGCAGCAGAGCCUUAGGAAGUAUUUUGGUUACCCUCACCAACUAAAACAACAACAACUUACAGGUAAUUUCUUAAUGCUUACAGAUGAACUCUUGAGCUUGGCAUGAGAGACAUGUGGCAUGGAAGCAAAAUCAACAUGAGUUUAGCACUGAGGGGAAAUUUAGGCUCUCUUGGGGGAAAAAGGGAAGUGUUAAGGUGAGAGAGGAGAAGUUUGUAGGAGAUUUAGCUAAGAAAGGAGAAAUAUAGAACAAUGCUCUUCUGGCAGCUUGACAGAUGCUCUGUCUGCCAGAAAAGGAAGAUGGAGAAGAAAUGUGAAUAGUGCACGAGUUUGCUAGAUUUUUGCAGGUAAGAGAGGAAGCUUGCUCUCUGGGUCUGAGUUGAGUUUUGUUAGGUGGAAGAGACCUCAUUUUAUAGCUCCUGGAAACCAUCACUUCCCAAGAAACCCUAAUGGCUUCUACCCAUUUUGGCCAAGCUUUUCCAUUCCUUUCUCAUUUCCUUCCUUGACUUUACCCCUCUUGAUGAAAUCCUCUCUACCUAUUUGCACCAGAUCAGAGUUUUUUGAAGCUUAAGGCCCCCUUUUCCCGCAGUUGUCUCAAUGGGAGACUUUCAUUCCUAGUCAUUUCCUUUAUUGCUUUCCUUUCUUUUUUUCAUGGCCAAGUCUGGUGGGGAAAGGAGUUGGGAUAAAUAUGCUAGUUUGAAGGGUGCUUCUCUUCUUGGCAUCUUACACACUAAUACCCCUUGGUUCCUUGAAUGUUUUGGCUUUGAAACUUGCUCCCCUCCAUGUAUUGGAACCUCCCAGCAGCCCUGGUCAAUGAAUCUUCAGACCUUCUCUUCGUGGCUUUUAUUUUUUUAUCAACUGGCUAGGGCUUUUGUGGCUCAUUGGGGCAAUUGUAUGGGCUAAGGUGGUUCAUUAAGUAAGUGGGCUAUUUUUAUUAAACAUUGAGCUUUUUGGUUGAGUCACUAGGCUAUUUUGAUUGGGCUAUUGGGCUAUUGUUUCCUCUCUUGUGCUCACCCACAUGUUUGGACCAAAGAAAUGAGCUUGAGUCCUGAGGCUCCCAAGCGACCCGAGACUUUCCAUUUAUCGGUCCAUCAAUGGGCCUCAUGUUGAUUUAUUACCAUCCAUACCACACCCCACUCAAGCAAGCCCCGGGCAUUUGAGUGGCUUGGGCCCACUUAGGCUUGUAGUGUGGUUGGGUGCAAAAUAACGAUUUCGUGCUUGGCAUGUUUUAAUUUUAUCAUCCAUGGGAAAGGCUGCGAUGUUUGAUUUCGGCAUGGGCUUGUAGAGCUGGUAUGCUUUAUUUCAACUCCUAGCAUGACGAAUUAUUUAUUUAGCAUGGCACGUGAAUUACAACUCGCAUGUGGUGGGUUUUUGUGUACUACACCUUACGCCUCUUCUUAAUAGAACAUCGUUUCUGAUAAUUUAUUUGGGCCCAACCGUGAAUUUUUUGGAUCUCAAUAAUAACCAUCAUGAAACAUUACAUUUUGACUGACAUCAAGAAAUGGGGUAUCCCUUUCUUGAUAGUGGCAUCCAUGAUGCCUUCCAAGCCGUCAAUUAAGGGCUAUCGCGAUGCAUUUUAGUUGUCAGCAAAAGGUGUUUUUCUUGUACUAUAUUCACUCAAAAUCGUGUUUCAUUUAAGAUUAGUAGUAUGGUUGAAUACCAUUUGUUUUGUUAAAGAAUAUUAUACAUUAGGGAUUUUUGUAGAAAUGUCAUUUGAACUUAUACCUUAGUUUCAAUUUGUCACCUUGAAGAAAAAUUUAAGAGAAAUAUCACCUUAAUUUUUUAAAAUCCAUGAUUUGUCAUAUGACUUUAAGAUCAUCCAAUUUUCCAUCCAUUUUAAGGGUAUUUUAGACUUUUCAUUUUCAAGGAAAAAAAAGAGAUGAAAAAAGAGACCUCUCUCUUACUUUGUCCCCCAACCCAACCCCACCCGCCCCCAAAAACACAUCACAUAGGAUUGCCUCCCCCUUCCCCACUUUUCUUUUUUCUUUUUGUCAUACUUUUCCACUGUGUUUAUGUUGAAGGAUCUAAAGUUUGCUUGGUCACCAUCUUUUACGUAGGCUUCCUAAUUGUUGGUUUGGGUGGGUUGUGGGAAUUUGUGUGUGGAGGGCAAGGCUCUAUCUGACAGGACCCACCUCGAAUUCCUCGAAACCCGAGACGAAUCUUGUAGAAUUUCCGACAUCACACCGAUGCCGGGUCCACUUCUGAACUAAAUCCUCUUUUCCAAAAUUAAGGAAAAAUAGUACGAGGCUUUCUGCCAAAAUUUCGGCAGUCUUCCCUAUAAAUUUAACGUUUCAGCUUUGGAGGCCGUUCUUUCAUUUCUGCUUUGGUGGCCGGAUGAGAGAACGGCCGGCUAAAACGUGGCCAGCUGGCACUGCCGUCACGAGAGAGAGAGAGAGAGAGAGAGAGAGAGAGAGAGAGAGAGAGAGAGAGAGAGAGAGAGAGAGAGAGAGAGAGAUGUUUAUCAAACCAUUUUUGCCAAAAUUACGAUUAUGCAACUGAGGGUAUUUUGAUCGUAUCUUUUUCGUUAUAACUCCGAUUCAAGCCCACUACAUAUCUACGGACUCAUCUCGCCGUGCUCUAUGCAAUUGUAUAGUUGAAAUUCCCAAAUUCCAUCCCAGUCAAAAAGUCAACUUUAAACCUUAUAAAAUAUUCUAAGGGCAAAAUGGUCUUUUAUCUAAUUAAAUUAAUAAUUGAAAAUUUAUUUAGGACCGGGUCGUUACACUGUCGUUGAUGGACUGUGCGAUGGCACUCACACAAAGUCCUUAAGAAUAAAACACACACACACCAUGAAGAGAGUAAAACAAAUGCACAAAGAUUUAUAAAGGUUUGGCCUCCUGCCUACAUCCUCUUGGUGAUCCACCCGAGAAAUUCACUUGUACGUAAGAACAACUUUGGUUACAACUAAACCCCCUUAGCUUUCAUAAGAACCCUAGAUCUCUUUUCUCCCACCCUUGCUCCAACCCUUUGAUGCCCUUGUAAACACUCAAGAAUUCAUCCUUGAAUUCUAUCAUGUGUUACAUCUUCUCUUCUCCCCUUUGCCAACCUAACCCUACAAGUUAUAUUUAAAAUUCAUUGGACUUUAAGUACAAGUUAACUAGGAAUAGGAAACAUAAAAGACCCCAAAAAUUGGAGAAAAUAUGUCUAGAUCUCAUUAGGAAAUUGCACAACACGUGCGAUCCUCUCGAGCGCCUGCAAAAUCAUCCCUUUGCCGCUCGAGCUGCCGAUAGCUCAUGGGAUGGGGGAAUUAGAAAUUUUUUUUUUUCAAUUUUAAUUGUUUAAAAGAUAUACAAUUUAUUAAUAAUAAUUUUUCCAUUUUUAAAAUACCCUUGAAAAUAGAAAGAUUAAAAUGCCCUUAAAAAUGGAUGGAAAAUUGGAUGGUGUUAAGGUCAGAUGACAAAUCAUGGAUUUUGAAAAAUUAAGGUAACGUUUCUCUUAAAUUUUUCUUUACAGUGACAAAUUGAAAUUGAGGUAUAAGUUCAAGUUACAUUUCUGCAAAAAUUCUUAUACAUUAUGAUAUUCUAACAAUAAUUGGCUAAAAUUGAUAUGUUCCCUCUUUUAUUUUCUUUUUCUCUUUUCCUUUUCAUUUUAUGAUCCAAUCCUUUUCAUAUAUUUUUGUUCAAGACUUUGUUUUAUAAUGCUCUAUUACUAAUUUGGUACAGGUCCCUAAAAUCUCGGAGCCGCCUUAGUACAUUCAUAACGUACAUGUUCAGAGUUCAAGAAUAAUGUAUAGAAUGUGAAAUUGACGAUGCCGGCCUUUAUGAGGCAACAUCUUUAUUUCUUUGGUUAUUCCAGUUUAGAAUAUUUGCACAAAUGAGAUGACUCCAAGCAUAAAGUCACAUUCGACCAAAAAGCAUAAAGUCACACACAAAAAGAACACGGACAAUUGCUAAGUUUAUCCUUGUACCCUUAUUUUAUUGAUCCGACCCAAUUGAAAAAUAAAAAAAGAUGAUAAAAAAUAUUGUUCACUGCUUUAAAAUCUAUGAGUAGAGUCCUCCAUUUGAAAUUUGGUCAUUAUACAAAAUUGGAAUGAAAAAAGAAAAUCCUAAAGCUAUAUUUGAUAUAUUUCAUUUUCAUUUUUUGCUGGGUGUUAGGGCUCGUCAAUGGGCCGGGCCUGGCUAGCCCGGCCCGAAUUUAAUGGGCUUGGGCCAGGCCGGCCCAGGCUUUAAAGAGGAGAGAGAAAAUAUCAGGUCGAGUUUUUUAAGAAAAUUCAAAGCCCAAGCCUGACCCAUGAGCCGGGCUUGAGAAAGCCCAUCGGGCCGGGCCGGGCCUAAACGGGCCCUACUUCAUUCAAAAAAAAUCAUUAACUUAAUCAUAAGGUCAUUUUAGUCCAAAUUUGAGAUUAAACUCACUUAAUUCUAAUAUUUUUACUUCAAACCAAAUUCAUAAAACACCCAAUAAAGUCACACAACUUGUAAGAUUUUCCACAAAAAUAAUAAAACCAAGUAUUAUUUUUGAGGUUAUUACAUAAUUAGAUCGUAAUACGUUUUAAAAAAUAAUUUUUAAAAAUAAUAUUAAUAAGUAUCAAAAAAAUAUUUUUUUAAAGGAUGGUAUGAAUAAAUAUGCAAAUAUUUGGUGAUGUGUUCAAGAAAAGGAUGAUUAUAUUUGGUGGUACGAUUAUGUUUCGUGAUACGAUUAUAUUUAGUGAUGUGAUAUGUUGUUCAUCUUAUAUAUAUAUAUAUAUAUAAUUGUUGAACUAAUAAUUGACACAAAUUAAUGUGUUAAUCAUCCAAUUAUAAACUAGGAGUGAAUAAAGAAAAGUAAAUGAAAUGAAACAAAUUAUAUGUGUGAUUUAAGUGAUAUAAUCCUAAACCUAAACUCUUAUUUAUACAUAAUUAUAUAUGUAUGCGGGCCUAACGGGCCGGACUUUUGUGGGCGUGUCGGGCCGGGCUUUCUUGGGCUUAAUCAGGCUGGACCUAUGGGUCAGGCCGGGCUUCAAACACCCCAACACGAGCCUAGCCUAGCCCGCCUUGGGCCGGGCCAUCUCAAAGCCCAUAACGAGCCGGAUCGGGCUUUUUUCGAUUGGCCGGGCGGGCCCCCUCGACCCAUGAGCCCGCGGGCCAAAUGAUGAGGCCUACUGGGUGUUCAAUUUUUCUUGUUUCUUGUUGAAAAGAAAAAUGAUAAUUAAUAAAAUCUGAUUUGGUGGUUGUGCUCGUCACAAAUCAAUGAAAUGACAGCAGUGAUUUUGCAAGACAGCAUACCUUCUCUUGGGGUGCUUUUCAUUUUGCAACAUUUCUUUACGUGUAAUUUCCAGAGGAGGGUUUAUCAUUGUAUAUAGCUCUUCGGGUGGUUUUUUCUGCAAAACAAAUGUCACAAGGAAGGAGGAGAAACGGAAAAGAUUUACUUGGAAUGUCUCAAGUCUCCUUUGAGAUAAAGGCAUCGAAUGCACAACAUUGUUUUUGUGCUAUUUCAUAAUUAAAGUGUGCUUCCCAAGUCUCCUUUGCGUUUUGUAACUUGUAAUGUUUGUUUUUUUGUUUCCCCUGUUUUGUCUUUUAUAAAAGAAAGAGGAAUGCUAGCAACCUUCUCUCUAAUCUUCUCUUUUGGACCUUCUCCCUUUUCUUUUUGACAAGUGUCAUUUUCCAUACACUUAAAACAAUGACAUUAAUGCAUCACACAAUUUAGUUUUUGUUUUCCAAGUUUACCAUUUUAAAAUGUAUUGGCUUUUAUAUUUCCUUCAAUUAUUCACAUUUUGUUAUAACUUGUUUAGCACAUUAUUUUUUUUAAUUUAAAAAAAGUCAUAUUUUUUAAAAAUAAAAAUAAAGUUUGUUUCAUGACAUUGUUAUCAUUUUUAUUUUGUUUUUAACAAAACACGCAUUCUCUUUGGAAAAAUUAAAAAUUAAAAAACAAUUCAGUUUUUAUUUUCUUAUUUAAUUUUUAACAAGCUAGUAAGAAAGUUAUAAAAAAAAAUUAGCUUGUUAUUAAAAAAAAAUUAAUACAUUUAAUAAGGGUAAAUUUGGAAAACAAAAACUAGUUUGUGUGAUGCAUUAAUGACAUUGUUUUUAGUUUAAGGAAAGUGACACUUGUCAUGAGAAGAAGGGAGAAGGUCCAAAAGAGAAGGUUAGAGAGAAGGUUGUUAGCACUCCCCAUAAAAGAAAUACAGGUCUGAACCACACGGAUCUACUUGCAUAAUAAUGGACCAAAUUUAUGAUUUUUAGAAAGAACCUUCUACUGGUGGAAUCUUGGGCUACUGUUGUGGCUCUCCUCUGUGUGCCUCCUUUUUAGAAUGGUAAAAUAUUCAAAAUACCAGAAAAUGUUCAUGAUUAAUGCAAAUAUUAAGAAUUGAAAUUAUUAAUUAAAUGAAGAUAAUAUGGUAAAUUCACACUUUUUCAUAUUAAAAAAAUUAAAAUUAAAAGAAAUAUCAGAUAAUUACUCUUAUUUUUAUGGAACACAGCUACCCAUUAUCUUUUUUAAUUAUAAAAUAAAUUUAAAUUAUAAAAAAAAAAUCCUCUCACAUGCACGGAAGCGCGUGCUCAGAGGCUAGUUAAAAAUAAUGAACUUUGCUUCUGAUGUCUAUACCAGACCCACUCAACCUGCUUUAUGAUUAUACAAAGAACAAACUCGUCCUUAGACUCAUUUGGUUAAACUUAGAAAAUAAUGAAACAAAAAUAUACACACCCACAAGUAACACAGCCAGGAUUGAAAACAACUGGACAAAGAAAGGCAUGUUAAAACAGAAUUUUCAACAACUCAUCACCAUUAGACAAGAAAAAGAAAAAUCAAUACAGAAACAGAAAGAACAGAGAAUAAAUGUGGUGGAAGAAAAACGUUGAAGCCAUUUGUGAAUCCAACAACACUACCACUCUGUUUCUCUCCUUUUGUUCAGGCGGAUCUGCAUAUAUCCUAAGGCGUAUUACGGAAACAACUUCUUGCCGUUAUACUUGAAUGUUGUGGAUGCUUCAACGUUGCCAUCUGGGUGGAGUGGAUUUGUCCAAUUCACCUUCACUAUGGUUAAUCAACUAGACAGACAUAAGUCAGAAACAAUAGGUAUAUAGGUCCAAAUUGUUGUUAUUUGAAAGGCUUCUAAAUUUUAACAUUUUGAUUUCUAAAUUUUGUUUUAAUAUUUCGGCCCACUUAGUUCUUCUCAAAAUAUGUCAUCAAUAUCGUUGAAAGGUUGAACUUAGUGAAUUAUUAUAGUGCAGUACGGUAAAAUAGGCACAUGAUAUAAUUUGUCCACAUGUUCUAAUAUAAGUGAAUAUUUAUUGAUAUUAUUUUCAAAAAUAAAAAAUAUCAACCAUUACAUCCUCCCAUAUUAUAAUACAUAUACAAAUUAUACCACAUUAUCAUACUCUAAUACCAUUUUAUAAUUUCUCGUACUUAGGAGGUAUAGAGCGAGUCAAUGACAUUACAUAAUAUAUAAUUGUUCAUAUAAUGGGGCAACUAACGUGAUCAACAAGUUGUGGUGAUUAAUUUAACAUAAUAAAAAACAUACCAUUUACUAUGUAACAAUUUGUUCUUUUAAAUUGGAUUGUCAUCACUUUAAUAUGUUAUGUUUCUUAUUCUAGUCUCCCAUGUUAAGUGCUUCAGCAUUGUUUGUGGUGUGUACACAAAUUUUCUUAUAAAAUGUUUUAAUGCUUCUCACAUGUAUAUCAGAUAUAGACAGUUGAUGUGACUUAGAAAUCAAAUUGUCAAUAAAGAAAAAAAAUAUAAUUGGUGAUCGAGGUCCAAUUUAAUAGAAAAUAGUCUUAAUUUGUAUAUUAAAGGUUUCAGAUUCGAAUCCUCACUGCAUUAUUGUUGUAUGCGUACACGAGAAAUUCUAUUUCCCAAUAAUUUAGAUUAUCACUUAUACUAAAAAAAAUAUAUAUAAUAAGUUUUACGAAUGCAAACAUAAAAUUACACCAAACAAUAAUGGAAUAGAAAGAUGGAAGUUUUUUUUUUUUCCUACAUCUAAAGUAUACUUUAUAUAUAUAUUUAUUAUGGGAGUUAUAACCGUUUAAUUUUCAGUUUUUAUUUUCUAUUUAUUGUGUUAAUUUUUAUGGUUUAAUAUGUAUGGAGAUUACAAGUAUUGGAUGUCUAUAAAGGGCCACUCCUCCUUCACAUCUGAAACAAACCACCAUCUCAUUUCUGUAUUUUCAUACUUUCAUAUAUUUUCUACUUUCCAGAUUAUUAUUUUUGGGCAACGGUUUUGUGACUUGGAGAUUUCUAUCCGAUUGUUAACAUGCUCAUAACGGACCUUGAGCUUGCGUAUUGGGGAUCGUAUCUUGGAGCCUUGUAGACCUUUAUUACGUGCAUGUAGGGAGGCUACAAAUGCUUUAGGUCAGCGUCUUUGACGUACUUUUGCUUUCUUUUUUUACUUAUUUCUUCGUUUCUUUAUUUUUACUUUACUUUUAAAUCUUUAUUUUAUGUAUUAUUUAUAUUUAAAAGUUUUGAAUAAGAGUUUUACAGAAAAGGAAAAACACAAUUUCAAAUAACACAAAUUUCUCGUUUUUUGUUCUUAAAAAAGAAGAAGCAUUGAUUGGGGAGUUAUGGUAAACUCAGUUUCAAUGGUUGCGAUGAGAGGCGGUGGCGGCGAGGAGAGGACGAAGGCUUUGCUGCCGACGGGGUGGUGUGGCUGGCUGCUUGGUCCUGGGUUCUCCUUUAAUUCUCUGUUUUCUUUUUUCAUUUUCUUUUUCUCUUAGAGUUAUUGAUGUUAAGUGAAUGGACAGAUGCCAAAAUAGGGACAGAAGAUGUGAACCCAAUUAUAUACAGCUGCUGCUAUAGCUGAUUACAUAAAGUAACAAAUUAAUUAAUGCUUGAGUGGAGGACAGGCUUGAGUGGAAGAAUUGAUUAAGGCUUGAGUGGAAGACAAACUUCAGUGGAGGAAAGUAUAGAUAAGGAAAGCAUGCCUCGUUUAACGGCUUUAUCUAAUAAAGAUUACUUGUUGGCACUUGGAGUUUCUUAGGAAUGCUGGUUUUGUUUCCUUGGUGGACUUGAAAGGUGGUGCCUUGGCUCGGACAUCUCCCAAGACAUACAACUGCUCAUUAGCUGAAUAUCUCGCUCUCUUUAAAGAGAUCGAAGCAAACACAAUUUGCAAUUUGUGUGAUUCAAGCAUGAAUAUCUGAUAUAGUAACUAUACCAUUUGUUGGUUUGAUAAGAAAAGUUUGGUUAGCGAGGAUGAAACCAUAAAGUUCCCAAAACACACAAAGAACACGGACAAUUGCUAAGUUUAUUCUUGAGUUCACACAUAUUUGCACAAAUGAGAUUAUUCCAAGCAUGAUUAUACCAUUUGUUGGUUUGAUGUGAAAAGUAUGGGCAACGAGGGGUAAAACCAUACAAACACACACGAAGAACGUGGACAAUACUAAAUUUAUCUUUACGUUAUUGAUCCGACCUAACUGUAAAAUAAAAAAGAUGAAAAUAUAUAAUGUUCAGUACUUAGAUCUAUGAGCACUUGCACAAAACAUCACUUUUGGUCUUUGGUAAAUUUUUAAAAUAAAUGAAUUUUUUACUUAUUUGUGAACUGAAAUGCCUCUAAAAAAAUAAUGAUAGUUCGAAGAAUUUGAUAGAAAUUAAAAAAUAUCCUCAAAUUACUUGGAAUUGAAGACCACAUAGGCAAAAACACGAAAUUGAAACCUCACUUUAAUGAUAAAAAUGGUAAACUACAAAGACAAAAAUGACGUCUUGCCUUAUAAAUAAUUGGAAUUUGCUGGUGAUAAUAGUCGAUAUCAUCUUUUGUCGGUCCGACCUAAAAAGAAGAAAAAGUUAAAAGCAUCUUGUACCAAUUUUUGCCAAUGUGGGCCCAAACAAUUUGAAGAAGUCCACCGGCAAUUUCUCAAAAGCUAUUGUGUGAGUGUGAAGCUAAACCAAUAUUAUUUUGCAUAUCCGACCCCACAUCCCCAUGUGAUGUGAGGCUACAGAGGUGUUUCCAAAACGAAAUAUGAUAUUUCAAAACGUAGCUAUGUAUAGAGUCAUUUGUAUUUGCUUUCACAAUAACAUUUGAUUUUAUAUUUAUACAUUCUGAUAUUUUAACAAAUAAAUUGACUAAAUUUGGCCAACAGGAUUUAGCCGAAUAGAAAAGUUCUUAUUUAUGGACUAGUAAUUUUAAAUUUAAAAUUUAGACUAUCGCAUGUAUUUAAAAAAAACUAAACAAUUGGCUUAAUUUGAUAUAUUUCCUUUUUUUCCUUUUUGCAUUUUAUGCUGGUUGCCGUUAUUAAGUUUUAUCCUUAUUUUUUGUUGAAAAGAAAAUUGAAAAAAAUAAUAAUAAUUCCUACAGCUAGCAACUUCUCCACCUACAAAAAAUAAUAUUUUUUGUUUUAUCCUCAUGUGAGGCUACAGAAAAUUUUUGAAAACGAAACUGGAUAUUUUAUCUCUAACGACAGCUUUCAUACUUCGUUUACCCUGUGUUUCCAAGUUGUGCUAGCUAUUUGCAAACCUUGGAAUAUUACUUCAUCCAAAUCCCUUGCAGAGAAAAGAAAGAUAUGGCUUUGAUCGGAGAGGCCCUCAUCUCUGCUACCAUCCAGACGUUGUGUGACAAAAUUGCUUCGCCUGAGUUCACCGACUUAUUUCGGCAGAAAAAGCUCGAUGAACAACUCCUCAACAAGCUGAAGACGACGCUGUUGACCUUGUCCGUAGUGCUUAAUGAUGCAGAGGAGAAGCAAAUUGAGGAACCUUUAGUGAGAGACUGGCUUGACAAUCUCAGACAUAAUGUCUUGGCUGCGGAGGACUUACUGGAUGAAAUCGACACUGAAGCUUUGCGAUGCAAACUGGAAGAAGGUGAAGGUCAAACCCACAAUUUAACCAAGAAGGUACGUGAUUUUUAUCAACGCAUGAAUGUUGAGAUGAAAGAUUUAUUAGAAAGAUUAGAACAAUUUGUACAAGAGAAAAGUGCUCUUGGUUUGAGAGAAGGUGCUGGGAGGAAGGUUUCACGAAGAACAACAACUUCCUUGGUUCAUGAACCUUGUGUCUAUGGUAGAGAUGAAGUCAAAGAAAAUCUGUUGCCAAUUUUGUUAUCUGAUGAUGCAAGUAAGGAUGAUGUGUCUGUCCUCACCAUUGUUGGAAUGGGUGGGAUUGGCAAGACAACCCUUGCCCGACUGCUUUAUAAUGACGAUGAGGUGAAAGAACAUUUUCCACUUCACGCUUGGGUUUGUGUUACGGAAGACUAUGAUUCUAAUAGGAUAACUAAAACUCUUCUAGAGUCAGUCACCUCAAAGUCUUCUAAUAUGACAGAUCUAAAUUUACUUCAAGUUGAACUAAAAGAACAACUCAAGGGAAAGAAAUUCUUAUUUGUUUUGGAUGACCUAUGGAAUGAGAAAUAUGGUGAUUGGAAACGCCUCCAAACUCCUUUUACUUCUGGGGCAAGGGGAAGUAAAGUCAUUGUAACAACACGGAGCCAACAUGUAGUAUCUGUCCUGCAAAGUGUUCAUGUUCAUCACUUGGAACCCUUGUCGCACGAAGAUUGCUGGUUCUUACUUGCAAAACAUGCAUUUGGAAAUGAAAAUUGCAGUGAUCCAAACUUGGAAGAAAUUGGCAAGAAAAUUGCACACAAGUUCAAUGGGUUGCCUUUAGCUGCAGAAACACUUGGGGGUUUGUUACGUUGCAAUAUAGAUUCAGAGGAAUGGAAUACAAUACUAAAUAGCAGUAUUUGGGAGCUACCCUAUGAUAAAUGUGACAUUCUUCCGGCUCUUGGGUUGAGUUACCAUUAUCUCUCCUCCCAGUUAAAACGAUGCUUUGUUUAUUGUUCAAUUUUUCCAAAGGAUUAUGAGUUUAAAAAGGAAGAUAUAGUUCAAUUUUGGAUGGCAGAAGGUUUAAUUCCAAAAGCUGAGAAUGGAAAGAGCAUAGAAGCGGUAGCUAGAAAAUACUUUGAUGAGCUGUUGGCACGAUCGCUAUUUCAAAAGUCAAGCAAAUCCGGUUUCACAAUGCAUGAUCUCAUUAAUGACUUGGCCAUGUUCAUGUGUAAGGCAUUUUGCCUUAGGUUGGAAGGGGGGGAAUCACAUGUCGUAGAAAAAGUUCGGCAUUUUUCAUAUGCUAUGGAAAGAUUUGAUGCAGCUCCAAAAUUUGAGCCAUUACAUAGGGCUAAGUUUAUGCGGACCUUUCUACCCAUAUCAUUAAAUUUUGUUUCCACUUCUUAUGUAACUAAAAAGGUUCUACAAGAUUUGUUGCCGUCACUAAGAUGUUUACGGGUGUUAUCAUUGUCACAUUAUCAAAAUGUUACUGUGUUACCUGAUUCUAUUGCAAACCUCAUUCACUUGCGCUACUUGGAUCUUUCCGGUACCGCAAUUGAAAGGUUACCUGGGGUACUUUGCAAUCUCUACAACUUGCAGACAUUACUAUUGUCAAAAUGUUUCUCACUCCUUGAAUUGCCUGCAGACAUUAGAAAAUUGACUAAUUUACAGAAAUUGACAUUGCUCGGUUGUAGUUCUCUUAAUAAAUUGCCUGCAGGCAUGAAGGAGUUGACUAAUUUGCAUCAUCUUGAUGUCAGUGGAACUAAAAUUGAAGAGAUGCCGGUGCAAAUGGGUAGAUUGAAAAGUUUGAGAACAUUGACUGCAUUUGUUGUGGGCAAAUCUACUGGGUUAGGCAUAAGAGAACUGAGGCAGUUCCCGCAACUUCGAGGAAAACUAUCAAUUUUGAAGCUACAAAAUGUAGUUGAUGCGAGGGAUGCACUGCACGCCAAUAUGAAGCACAAGAAAGAUCUCAAGGAGUUAAAGUUUUCAUGGGGUGCGGAGGAUGCUGAUGAUUCCCAAAAGGAGAAAGAUGUACUCGACAAGCUCCAGCCUUGCGUGAAUUUGGAGAAAUUAUCCAUCAAAUUCUAUGGUGGAACCAAUUUUCCGAAUUGGUUAGGAGACUCGUCUUUUUCUAACAUACAAGUCAUGCAUCUCAGUGACUGUAGUUAUUGUUGGUUGCUCCCACCAGUUGGACGGCUACCGGCACUCAAAGAGCUCUGUAUAAAAAGAAUGAAGUCUUUGAGGACGAUUGGCGUUGAAUUCUAUGGCAGAAAUGGAGCUUAUCUGACUCAGCCAUUUCGAUCUCUGGAGAAGCUAGAGUUUAGGGGGAUGCCGGAGUGGGAGGAAUGGGUACCAAGUGGAAGUGCAAGUGGAGGUGAAUAUGGUCCAGACUUUCCUCGUCUCCAAAAGCUGAUUCUAAACGAGUGUCCGAAGCUAAGAGGAAGUUUGCCUUGUGAGUUGCCUUGCUUGAAGAAGCUUACGGUGUAUGGGUGUAAGGUUUUACAUGAUGGAAGGACCGCUACCGCAACUACCAAUAGUGUUAACUAUAAAUCUCUGGAAGAAUUGGAUAUAAGUGGUGGAUGCCAAACUCUGUUAUCAUUAUUAGAGACAAAGCUCCUGUCCCGACUUCGGAUUCGAAAUGUUGUUGACAUACAGUGCUUGCCCAACUGCAAUCGUCUUCAACGUUUGACUCUUUGCCUAACGCUGUCAUCGUUUCCCAAAGAUGGCCUACCCACUACAUUGACAUCACUUUAUAUAAACAAUUGUAGGAAAUUAGAAUUCCUACCUCAUGAGAUGUUGGCCAAAUUAACAUCGCUUGACUAUUUGUGCGUACAAAAUAGCUGUGAUUCAAUGAGGUCCUUCCCGUUGGGCAUUUUUCCCAAAUUGACGACGCUUCAAAUUCGUGGUUGUGAGAAUCUGGAAUCUUUUUCCUUGAUUGAAGAAGAAGGAGCUGUUGACAAUCUCAGCCAUCUCAAUUCCUUGCGUGUCUAUAACUGUCCAAAAAUGGUGUGUUUUCACGAGGGAGAAUUGCCCACUCCCAACCUGAGUCACUUUGUAGUCAUUGGUUGCGAGAAUUUGAAGUCAUUGCCCGAACGCCUUCACACCCUCACUGCCCUUCGAUCUUUGAAUAUAUGGAAUCUUCCGAAUCUGGAGUCAUUUGCAGAAGAUGGGGGUUUGCCUCCCAACCUCCGAUCUUUUAUCAUUAGGAAUUGUAAGAGACUGAGGGCACUUGACUCAGUGGGUUUGCAAGCACUUGUCUACCUUCAGAUCGAUGGAAGUGACCAUGUCUUGGAGACGUUGCUGCUCCCUACCACUCUUCACACUCUCUGCAUCUCUGAUCUAUCAACUCUGAAAUCUUUGGACGGAAAGGGUCUUGGACACCUCACUUCUCUUCAAACUCUAAAAAUUUACAGCUGUCCAAGUCUUCAAUGCCUGCCAGAAGAGGGUUUGCCGCCAUCUCUUUCUCAUCUGAGUAUCCGCUGUUGUCCUACCCUGGAGGAAAGGUAUAAGAAUAAAACGGGACAAGAUUGGGCAAAGAUAUCUCACAUUCCUUGCAUCGAGAUAGGGGAAGAAGUGAUCAUAUAAUAUGAGCUAUUCCAUAUUUCACGCUCAACCCUCAACUCUCAAAUCAAAGUCAGGUGAGGUAUGUGCCUUCUCUUACUUUAAAAAACUGCUUCUCUUCUUCUAAUUGAAUACAAAAACCAAAACACAUAUUCUCUUUCUCUUCCAAAAACCCAAAUACAUGUUGGACAUUGCCCAAAUUUGUCUCCAAAUUCCUAGUUUAAAUCAAAUUUAAUGCCUAUGGAUAGUUUGUUAAUAGGUUCAUGCCAUGAAUUAAUCUUUGGACUUUCCCAGGUACUGCAGGUUUGUUAUUAAUGUUGUGGCCUGAUAUUCGUCGUAUCAAUACGUUGAGGAGAGAGAUCGAUCAGCAAUUACAAAAUUGUUAGUGAAUUUAGCUUGUUUAUCAUCUCUCUCCUUUUGUUUGUUAAGUUUUGUUGUUCUAGGUUAAACCCUUGUCCCCGCAUUUCACAGCAACUCUGUGUUUUUCCACUCUGUUUAGAUUUCACUAGCAGGAGAGCCCGCGCGAUGCUGCGGGUUUUGAAAUUGUGUAGACAAAAUUAGAUUGUUUAUAUAUACAAUGAGAUUUAAUUUAUAACAUUAUGUUUAACUACAGGAGUGUAAGUUGCAAAAAAGUAUAUAAUAACAUAUUUUACAGGCUACUUGUUAUGGUAAAAUACUAUACUUGUUUGUAUAUACAUUGAGAUGUUUAUAGUAGGAAGUAGGCAUCAAAAUAGCAAAAGUUGGAUAGUUUUGUACAGAAUGUUAUUUAAUUGGGCAAGCUUUGUUUUGCACUUGCUUCAUGAUUUUUCUUCUCUUUCAUGGAAGUCUUGAUCCUGUUAUAAAAAAAAGUGAGAAAAUAGUAAAUGUUAAUAUUGAUGAAUGGGGGAAAUUGAGUUAGGACAAUAAUCAUAAACAUUUAAUUAUGUAUAAACAGGAAUAAUAUAAUUUAUUGAUUUAAUAAGAAAGUUAUAAAUAGUUUUUCAAUCUAGGAAAUACAAAGUUACAAAAUUAAGAGAACUAAUGAGCAAGUUGUAGAUGGUUUUCUAAUUGAAGUAAUACAAAGUAAACAUAUUUUAAAUUUUGUGUUUGUCUAAAAGAAAAGUUGAAGAGAGGCAAAAUAAUUAUGGUUGAAUAUAUGGAGAAAAGGAUGUCAAUAUAAUGUUUAGGUUUUUAUGUAUUAGGAAUAUAUGACUUUUUUGCUGUUAUUUAGAGCAAAAAUUAUUUAAGGGCUUGACAUUUCUGUUAAAAAACGGGUAGAAUCUACCCUGAAAAAUGGACAUUUUGCCAAAAAAUUCACCUGUAAACUAAUUAGUACUGAAUACCGAUUGGCGAAGGCAAGACAAUCAUAGUUGUGGAGUACAUAGUUAGAAAGAUGAAUGUGCAAACGUACAUCUAACCCCAUGAUAUACAUCUAACCCCAUGUGAACAUGAUUUAUUCUACAACAAUGAUUAUCAAUUUUCUAAUUGCUCAUUUUCCUAACCCUAAUCAUCACAAACCCAAAAUUAACUCUAAAAAUUUCAAAUAAGCAUGGUUCUAAACCAAUUUCUAACUUACUUAGCGAAGUCUUUUCUAUAAAUGAUAGUUGUUGAAGAAAAAGGGAAACGAAAAUAAGCUUUUAGUGUAUAAGUACAUUGAAGCAAAACAUGAAGAGAAUCCAAUAUAUAACUUCAAUAUAUAACUUUAAUUUUCUAUAAGUGUUGAUCUAAAUUUACAUCCCUUACCACUCUUCAAUUUAAAAAUAGUUUUAGCUACAACAAACAACUUCAGAGAGAAGAUUUGGCCCUGUUUUAUAAGGCAAAACCUCUCUAACCACAUGACAUACAUCUAACUCCAUGUGAACGUGAUUUAUUCUACAACAAUGAUUAUCAAUUUCCUAAUUGCUCAUUUCCCUAACCCUAAUCAUCACAAACCCAAAAUUAAUUCUAAAAAUUUCAAAUAAGCAUGGUACUAAACCAAUUUCCAACUUACUUAGUGAAGUCUUUUAUAUAAAUGAUAGUUGUUAAGGAAAAACGGAAACAAAAAUAAGCUUUUAGUGUAUAUGCACAGCACAGAAAUUGCAUGUAGCUUUCCGAUUUUUAUCCCAACUUCGUUUCUGUGGAAUCACAAAACUACAUACGCACAGCACAGGGAAGGGAAAAAAAAAAAAAGGCACAUUUAAGAGACACCUAUCUUCUCAUUCUACAUCACAUCCUCUUUUCCUAGCUUUCCAACCUUGCAACCAAAGCAAACAUCUUUCCUGAUAAAGGGUAGGAAAGAAAGUGGUUGUGUGAAUUGGGAUGAGAGAGACAGAGACAGAGACAGAGACAGAGAGACAAAGAGAGAGAGAGAAAAGAGAAAUCAAAGUAUAUAUAUAAAUAGUAAGUAUAGUUUAUAUCAUGCAAAGUUUUGAUGGUUUCGUUCAAAAAAAAAACAGGGAAAAAGUUUUGAUGGGUAAUUCUAGUAAUAAUGUUCUUAUAAUUCUAUAUAUAUAUAGAUAUCAAACUGUACUACCAUAUUCUUCCUAUAUAUACACUUGGUCGUCAACUACCUCUCUCUCUCUCUCUCUCUCUCUCUCUCUCUCUCUCUCUCUCUCUCUCUCUCUGUGACCUGCAUUUAUACAGAACCAAUUAUUCCAUCUUCACUAUACAUUUUCCUCAUCUUCCCAUUCAUAUUUUAUGGCUCUCUUGUUCUUCCUCCUAAUUCUUUUGGUCCCUGCAAGCAAUACUAAUUGGCCACCAUCACCUGGCUACUGGCCAAGUUCUAAAUUCAGGUCUAUGAGCUUUUAUAAAGGAUUUAAAACUCUCUGGGGUCCUCAGCAUCAAAGCUUAGACCAACAUGCAUUAACAAUCUGGGUUUAAUGAGGCCAGAAAAUUUUAAGAACUUAUCUACCAAGCAUACCAAACUGACAAAGCAAACCAUAUCUGUAUUUUAUCAUCAAUUUCAUCAAUUUUAUCACCAACAACAGAUAAAAAAAGGGAAUUUUUUCAAAAAAAAAAAAAAGGAAAAAACAUAAAUAAAAAAAGGGGCACAUUUAAGAGAGACCUAUCUUCUCAUUCUACAUCACAUCCUCUUUUCAUUUUGAAGCGGUCAUGUGUUGUGAGUUUCUUGUUUUAUAAAUUUUCAAAACUGUUGUUUAGAACUGCAAAAUUCUUCAUCAUAUAUCUUGCCUUCUAAUAUACAUUCUGUAUCAGGAAACUGGAAUGAGGCUUGCUCUUUGAGGAAGAGAAAUAAAAGAAAAAGUUGUGGCAAAGGUUCACGGAUGUAGUUGGAUUGUAGUGGGACAGAGAACAAAUUUAUUUGUUGCAGGGGAAAAGUCUCAUCCAAAUGCUAUGAAAUCAUGGCAACUUUAAAGUAUUGGACAGCAAUAAUGAAAGAAGAGGGCUAUGUUGGUGACACAGAUUCUUGCUUGCAUGAAUAAGAGGGAGAAAAGCCCCUAUGGUAUUGACUGUUGCCGCCAAGUGCAUAUUGUUAUUACUAUGCGUACUACAUCCCAAGGCCUCUCUCAGCAGGAUUACAAAGUAAACCAGAAUUACUAUCCCAGCAGUAUUCUGCAACUUUGCUCUGCACUUCCUUAUGUAAUCUCUCUCUCUCUCUCUCUCUCUCUCUCUCUCUAUAAAUAUAUAUAUACACACACACACACACACACACAUAUAUCUAGGCAUGCAUAUUUAUGAGUUCCCCAUUGAGGAGGGAUUCCCUUUUGAGGAUUUUAUAAUUAGAAUUAGACUGCCUUCUUAACCAAUAGUUGGGUUUGUGUGGUAAGGUAUGCUGGGUUUGUUGAUGUGGAUAUUUAUGCCUGGAGGUGCUUUGUUUUACUACUUCGUUGAAGUAGAAACAGACACUGACAAAGAAGCCCUUCAUUCUUUGUCUCAAUAGUGAUUGGUUUCUUUGAUCCUAUUCAUCAUAUCUGGUGGUGAGGUUGCCUAAUCAGCCAAAUGUUGGGUUCAACUACCUCUCUCUCUCUCUCUCUCUCUCUCUCUCUCUCUGUCUCUCUCUCUCUUUCUCUCUCUCUCUGUGACCUGCAUUUAUACAGAGCCAAUUAUUCCAUCUUCACUUUACAUUUUCCUCAUCUUCCCAUUCAUAUUUUAUGGCUUUCUUGCUCUUCCUCCUAAUUCUUUUGGUCCCUGCAAGCAAUACUAAUUGGCCACCAUCACCUGGCUACUGGCCAAGUUCUAAAUUGGCCAGAAAAUUUUAAGAACUUAUCUACCAAGCAUACCAAACUGACAAAGCAAACCAUAUCUGUAUUUUAUCAUCAAUUUUAUCGCCAACAACAGAUAAAAAAAGGGAAUUUUUUCAAAAAAAAAAAAAAAAAAGGAAAAAACAUGUUUAGUCUUUGCUUUCCAAUGUUUUAUCCAAAAACCUGAAAAUCAAAGUAACUAAAUAAAUGAACCCAAUCAUUCCUAAUUUCUAUUUUGUCAAAACCUAAUUAAGCUUCACUUCUUUUUUGCUUGUAUUUUAUCAUCAAUUUCAUCUAUUUUAUCACCAAUAGCAGAUAAAAAAAGGAAAUUUUUUCAAUUAAAAAAAAAAAAAACAUACUCAGUCUUUGCUUUCCAAUGUUUUAUCUAAAAACCUAAAAUCAAAGGAAUCAAAUAAAUAGGGUUUAGGGCUCAAGAACCUGAAAUCAAAAGAACCAAAAAAAUGAACACAACUCUACAUAGCACGAAAAAUCUCCCAGCCAACAAUCAAAUUCAUGAAAUAAAUACCAAAAGAUCUGUUAAAAAAUUGAUGAGAUGCAUACCUGAAAACAAAGGAUGCAACAAAGAUGGAAGCCUGAGUCGAAGCAAGAACGAUGGAAGCCUGAGUCGAAGCAAGAAAGAUGGAAGCCUGAGUCGAAGGUUGUAGAAAAGACGAAAUCUCCCGAUCCCAAAUCUGUGACACGAAGACUGAAAGCACGGCUGGAUUUGCAGCUCACCUCCCAAACAAAAAUCGACGGCCUUCAACGCAUCUCCAGCAACGAACACAACUCUUCCAUGGCUGCCCCCCAACCAGCUGGUUGGAAACGAACGGGAGAAAAUGGUUUCUCUCAGCGGACGAAACCAUCUCAACGAAGGGGGAGGGGCAAAAACGGGAACAAAAGAAACUGUUUAGUCAAGGGCAGUUUCGUCAUUUAACUGUGCUGCAGGAAAAAAAACGAAAACAGCAGAAAAAUGAGGGGCAUUUCCGUCAUUACACUGUGCUUAGCUACAGUGUUUAGUUGCAUUGGGUUUUAGUAUAUAUAUAAUUUAUGUUGUGAUUCGACUGCUGCUGUAUUUUAGAUUUAUAGGAACAGACCAAACAUGUUGAUUCUAUCACCAAAAUUAUAAAGUAUACUUCCAUUACAAUUAAUUUGUUGAUUCUAAUUUGGACUUGUAGGAACAGACCAAACAUGUUCAUACGUGGCAUUGCUCAAGUCAUCAUCAUUCGGGACAGAGAAUAAGCCUUCAAAUGUCUGCUGAGUCAAUGAACCUUUCUAGAUAUCUCAAGUGUAAUGGAAAUUGAUGAGUUACAAAGGAUUUGUAAACAUUUUCUACUGGAGGCUAGAAAUGCUUCAAAUAAAUGACUCUGUUGCAAUUAUUUUGUAGGAUCAAAGACUCUGCAAAGAGGUAAGAAAGUCAUCAUCAAGUAACUUCGCUCUUCAUACUUUUUAUUAGGGGUGGGCAUUGGAACCGCAAAACCGCAAAACCGAACCAACCCAAUCCGAAAAAAACCGAAAAAAACCGUGUUGACCGAAAAAGUCAAAAACCGAGACAAAUCCAAACCGAACCGGUUCAGACCGGUUCCGGUUCCGAUUUUCCACCUUAAGGAACCGGUCCAAUCCGAACCGGUCCAAUAUAAUUAAUUUUUAUAUUAUAUUUAUAUUUAUAUUUAAAAUAUCAAAUUUUGUAGGCCCAAACCCAACUAUUUCAUUAUACCAACAAAAAGCCCAAAUCUCCCAAGUCCAUUGCCCAAGUCCAACAAGCCAUAUUUUAAUAUCCUAAUCACAUCAAAUCUCACUUCACUCUCUCUCUCUGACGCACUCUCUCUUUUCCUCUCAGAUUUUUUUUACUCUCUUUUUCUUUCUUUCUUCUCUCUUCCGCCUCUUUUCCUCUAGGUUCUUUAACUUCUUUUUACUUCUUUCUUUCUUCACUCUUCUGCCUCUUUUCCUCAGUUUUUUCUUCUUCUUUCUCUCUUAUUCUUUCUCCUCUCAAUUCGUCUCCAUUUUUUUUCCCUCUCUUUCUCUGAUUUUCUGUUACUCUGAUUUUUUUCUUCUUGGUUUUAUGUUUCUCUCUCUCCCUCUAUAUCUCUUUCUUUGCAACUCUGUUUUUCAAUUUCUCCUUUUUUUUCUCUCUUCAUUUUUUGUUUCUCUGUACAUAUAUGUGUUCAUCUUGUAGAUCUGGGUGAAAUUCUUGUAGAUCUAGGUGAAGUUCUUGGAGAUCUGCGUUAAGUUCUUGUAGAUCUAGGUAAAGAGCCAAUUCAAAGCAGGUCAGCGUCUCUUAUCUCCCCAAUCCCUUGUGAAGAUAUGUAUUUUUUUUGUUGUCAACAAUCCAUUUUGGUGUUUUUAUAUGGUAUUGAUAUUUUCUAUGAUUUUGGGCUGAUUUGAGGUCUGAUUCUUUUUUUUUCUUUCAAUUUUUUCCUGUUGUGUUUUGAUAGACAUGUUCUCUAUUCCUGAUAUCAUUCCUCAGUGGCAAAAUCUUUGAGCGUUGUUGUAAAUUUUAGACGGGAAAGAAGCUCAUUCAUAAUUCAAAAAAAGAAAAUAAAGUUACAACAACUGACAAUUUGUUGCUCUUUGAAAUAGGUACUGAAGUAGCAUGGAUAAAAAGAAAGACUGAAGAUGUUGCAGAAGAUUGAAUAUGUUCUAUUUCUGUAAUUUGUUUGUAAUUAAAUUUGUUUAUUUUGUUUUGUUUUUAGGUUGUAAGUUUUAUUUUAAUGUUUGAUAUUUGUUGUUUUGUCAAAAAAUUGUAUUAAUGCUUGAUGGAUUCAUUCAAUUUGCAGUGCGUGGAUGUGAAUUGGGCCAAUCGGUAAUAAUUAGGCCCAAAAGGUUUUAAAUAUCAAUUGGGCUGAAACUUACAAAAAAAUUUAAGAACAAAAAAAAAAUCAAUUAAGCUGUGUGUCGGCCCAAACCGUAAAAACCGGAACCGAACCGGAUUCAAAUGGGUUCGGGUUGGUCCGGUUUUCUCAAGCAUUUUAGUAAAAAUCCGAACCGGACCGGACCGGUGAACAGUACCGGUUCCGGUUUUAAAUUGAUGCAAAAACCGGUCCAAACCGGACCGUGCCCACCCCUAUUUUUUAUUUUUAUUUUUAAAUAUCAGUAAUAACUGGGAAAGCUUGCAUCUCCUUAAAUUGCUCAUUCUUACAUCUUUUAUAGUUUGUUGAUCUUGGGCAAGUGGAGAGAGAGGCGUCAAGUGAUACGCAACAACCAUUUUCUGUGAGCUGAUUUGAUAAAGAGAAAUGGUAUGCUUUCUUGUCUUAAGCGGUGUGUUCUGCAAUUAUUUGAAACAAAGGAUGCCGCACUUCAAGUUCGAGAAAAUCAGGUAUUUUAGUAUUUUAUUCUUGAGAAAUUUGAUUUAUGUAGAAACUUGAACAUGUAAAUGAGAGAAAAAAAAAUAAAUAUAUAUAUAUAUUAUAUAUUGUAUAUGCUGUUAAUGAGUUAAUAUGGUGCUUGCUCCUAGUUGGAAAUUUAUGUAGUCAUCUACCUAUGAUCAAAUAAAGAUGAAAAAUAAAAUAAAAUUGAGAGCAUCUUCCUCUCCCCUGCUUUGCUCAUCCCUUGUUCUUCCACUUCAGCCCCACUAUUACACCAUUUUUUUCAGCCACAAUUAUAAUAGCUCCAUGAGCAUUAAGUCCCUUUCAAAUUCUGCUGACAUUCAAAAUUGGAAUCUGCUGGUGAUAUAUGAUAGCGUUAACAUAUUGUACCAUUUUGGCCAGUGUACGCAAUAUUAUUGCAUCCAACUUUGCAUAUUAACAUCAGUGGCCACAGUUACACGAUUUGAGUGCACAGAAAGGUUUCAAAAGUUGUCCCACAGAGAACAGUCGUUCAAAGUGAGAGAGUUUUGAAAGCUUAAUUACAAGUUCAUGUUGUUUACAACCUCAAAAAGCUUUCAUACUUGCUUACAAACCUGUAUUUCCAAGUUCUGCAAACCUUGGAAUAUCACUUCAUCCAAAUCCCCUUCCAAAGCAGGAAAAAAUGGCAGCAGCUUUGAUUGGAGAGGCUCUCAUCUCUGCUUCUAUCGAGGUGUUGUGUGACAGAGUUACUUCAGCCGAGUUCAUAGACUUAUUUCAGCAGAAGAAACUUGAUGAAACACUCCUCAUGAACCUGAAGACGACACUGUUGAUUUUGUUUGCGGCGCUCAAUGAUGCAGAGGAGAAGCAAAUUGUGAACCCUGCUGUGAUAGAGUGGCUUAACAGCUCAAGCAUGCUGUCUUUGAUGCAGAGGACUUACUUGAUGAGAUUGACACUGAAGCUUUGCGAUGCAAGCUGGAAGGUGAGGAUCAAACCCACAAUAAUUAACCAACAAGGAUCUUUUUGAUUGUUUGAAAGGAGGGUCUUUGAUGAUUUGAAAGGAGAGGGUUGCUUCAUUUCUGUUGGAUGCUUAAUUAAAUCUUAUCUGGACUUGAACAAGGAUUAGGUUAGCUGUAUAAUUCGUGGUAAACACCUUUUUCUAAGGUUCAUUUAGACUCCUAUUACGAUUAAUUUGUUGUUUCUAAUUUGGACUUGUAGGAACAGACCAAAUAUGUUCACACGUGGCAUCGUUCAAGUCAUCAUCAUUUCAGACAAAAUCAGCCUUCAAGUGUCUGCUGACUCAAUGAACCUUUCUAGAUAUAUCAAGUGCAAUGGAAAUUCAAGAGUUACAUAGAGAUUUGUAAACAUUUUGAAGAUUGCAACACCUGCAAGUGAGAUAGGUGGUGACGAAAUCAGAGCUGAUCUUGAAGCCUCUGAUGCCCCUGUCGUUGCAAGUUGCACCUGAGAACAUGGUUUUUUUUUGGGUAAAAAACCAGCAACAUGUUCGGGGCUGGCAAUUCAAUCCCUGAUGAACUUGAGAAGCAAAGCUCCAGUAAGGAAAUUGGUCGAGGUCACGACAGGGAUAAUUGAUGGUGAAAUGGAUGCUAUUUCUUAUUGCAGCCUGUUCUCAAAGUUCUUGUUGGCAAAAGCAAGAGAUGGAGUAUUUUGAUUGGGAGGAGAGAUAAUGACAUGUGUUGACAAUUCUAGAACAGCCCAUCUGAGUUCUUUUGUCAGGCUGCAUCAUUUAAUCCCAGCAAAAAUCCAGUUUUUGCUAAACAAUCAAAUUGUACACAUUUUUUCUUUUCGAGGAAUUUAACAUUACACAUUUUUUCAUUUUUUCAUCAAACAGUUUUCUAAUGCAUUUGUUGUCCCAAGUUACAAUGAGGAAUUUGGAUUGAGUUUCUUGUGUUAAUAACAUUAUACUUUCAUGGAAUGGUUUAUCUUCUUUUUCUGGACAAAAAUAUUUAGAUUAAUUUCUUGGAAUAAUUUUUUAAUAAUUUUUUAAUUGCAGUAGCGAAAAAAGGAAAAUUGUAUUUUUCAAAACCAAUCUUAAGUCCAGUUUCCUCUUCUUGGUCGUCACACUUGGAAAUUGCUAACCAUAUAUAACUUGGGGUAACAAUCUUAGUCCGAAUGUGUACGAUCUUAGUCCGAUCAAUGGCUACGCGUAUUGGCUCGGCCUUGGGGUCUACCAUUCCAGUGUACAAGCUUCCUGGGUCUUGGGGCAAUUCCUUCAAAUUGUACACAUGUUUUCUUUGAGAAGCAAGGCUCUAGUAAGGAAAUUGGUUAUGUAACAAAUUUUGGUCCCUUUGGAUGGAAUGAUUUACAAUGAGGAAUUUUAUUAUUAUUAUUUUGUUUUUGUUGUUAGUGUAAUGAAAAUGAUCUAGGUUCAUACACUGGGUAUAGCUCUAAUUUGGCCAAUUUCAUUAUUUUAGUUUCUUCAUAUUUUCAAUUAUUAUAAUUUGGUGCGUUGUUUUUUAAAAACAUUCAUGAGAAUCUCCAUUUUUUAGGUGUUUAAGUUAUUCAUCCACAACGGUUUUAUAAUACCGUCAUCUUUUCAAACACAACGAUGAUUUUUUAAUCUAUCGUCGUUGUUUUCUGAUCGUCUUUUUCACUUUUUGUAGUAGUGUCAAUAAGUAAGAUGAAAUAAUACAUUCACAAUCUGUUUAAAUUUUAAAUUAAAAAAAACACAAGAAAAUUUUAAAUAAGUAAGUAAUUUUAAAUAUAUAUUUCCAUUGUUUUGGUUUUCUUUUCAUAUUAGUUUUCUACUAGCUGCUAAUUUCAUUUAAAUUGUUUUUCUUACUUCAUUUAACUUUUAAGCAUGCAGAUGCAAUCAUGACUUCUUCUUUUUUUCAAUAGACUGAUUCUCUUCCCACAUAUAUAAUGCUCUCUAAGUAUUCGUAAUAUGAGUAGGAAUUUAUUUUCAUUUCACAAGAAUUGUCCAUCAAAUUCUGAUAGGUUUGUCGAUAGCACAAGCAUGCACAUAUAGACACUACAAGAACUUUGUUUCUUCAUUUUGUUUCCUAAAGAUUUGUUGGCUUCGUGCAGAUGAAUAACAAGUCUCUCUGUCCUCUAUUUCUUCUUUUUCUUUUUUAACAAUUCAUAUUCUACUUUCUGUUUUCACCCAGUAAAAAUUGAUUUUAGACAUGGGCUUCUAAAUUAUGUGCGGAUAAUGGUUGCAUUUAUAGAAUAUCCAUGGGCUUCUAGUCACCGUGGUUGUUGAUUCAGCAUGUCAUAUUACUCUUGGACUAGCUGUUGACACUACUACAUUUUACACUUUGCGCGACGAAGAACAAAACGUCGCGCAAAGUCGCAUUUAGUCGCCCCAAUUUCAGCGCGACAAAAACGUCGUCGCGCAUAUUCCGUCGCGCGAAGAUCGUGAAGAAAGCCUUUGCACGACGAGGUACAACCCUUCGUCGCGCAAAAGUGUGCGACGGGUAAACCAUCGUUGCACCAACGGUGUGGAGACGAAACAACCCUUCGUCGCAAAAAUAUUUGCGCGACGAUAAAUUAUGCGGCGCACGUAUAUUUGCGAGACGACGGGAAUUGCGCGACAAAACAUUAUUCGUCGCGCAAAAUAUGUAUGGGAGACGUAUAUGUUCGUCGCAGAACAAUUCGCGCGAUGAGAAAGUUUUCGUCGCACAUAUAAUUGCGCGACGAAAAAUUAUGUCGUCGGCCAAAUAUUUUGCGCGACGAAACAUUUCGUCGCGCAAAACGUGUUAUGUGUUCGUCGCGCAUGAAUUAAAAGUGAUAAAAAAAUAUUUGAUUUUUUUUUGUUACAUGUUGGUUUGCGCGACGAAAGAUUUUCCGUCGCGCAAAAAUAAUAUUACAAUUUUUUUUUUAUUUAUAUUUUUUAUUUGAUAUAAAAUUGGUUUCUUUUUAUUGAUUAAACAAUGAAAUUGCAAUAAAAAUAAAUUAGAAUAAAAUUUUGUUAUAAAAUAAAAUAAAAUAAAUGUAUUACAAAUAAAAUAAAUACACUAAUCAAAUAAUGAAUCAAAAUCAACCGAGUCGUCGCCAGUAUGCGGCUCGGAGGGCGGGGCGUUCACCGGGGCAGUGGUCUGGUGGGGAUGCCCGGGAUGGACGGGCUCAGAGGUCGGCGCAUCAAAAUGCGGGACUGGAAUGCCGGACUGUGCGAGGGACUGCAGAAUGACCGACAUCUGGCUCUGAAGAGUGGCCACCUGUGCUGUCAAAGCAGUGACCUGACUGUUUGACUGCGCCGAUGAACGAGGUCGAGGUUCCCUCCGCCGGGCAUUCCCCAUCCCUCGACAAUAUGUCCCCGGCCUCCUCCCGAGAGUCUGAUCCAACGUCUCCGUCAAUAUCUGAAAUCCAGCAUCCUGUGGAGGAGCCACAGACUCGAUCGGAGUCUCGGGAGGAAGCUGGGAGGCGGACUCCUGAAGAACAAGCUGGCUCCUCUCCACCAUCGUCGUCUGUUGAACAUAACAUAAAAUAUAAAUUAAAACAUGCAUAUAAAUUGAAUGCGUAACAUAAGAAUUAAAAUUAAAUAAUACUUACAUGAAGGGACUCGGCCAACUCAUUCCCGGGUCGAACAUAAACGUCACCAAAGACGUCGAUCUCUGGGAACUUGGACCCCUCCUAAAUUGAACAAGAGAAGAAAAAUAUUAGUAUGAAAAAAAUAAAUUAAUAAAAAUGACAUUAAAAAUGAAAUAAAAAUUUUGUGAUUAUUACCCGACGCCGUGCAUCCAUCCUAUAAGAAAAGGGUCUGGAGCCGGAAUGGUGGAGAAGGGUCUUCUUCUUCCUAUUACCCUUAUUCACUUGGGCUUUAUUCUGUUAUACAAAAAAUGAAACGUAUUAGUUAAAAUAUAAAAAAUUAAAUAAUAAUGAAAUAAAAAAAUAAAAUAAACAUUAAUAAGUAAUAAGUAAUAAUUAAACAAAUAUAAUUAAAAAAAUACCGCAAAUUCGGGCGCUUGAAAAUGAGCGCAGAGCCACUCCCAACUAUCCUCCCGCCCCUCAAGCUCCUUCGGGCAACCCUCCUGAAGAGCGACUUGCGGAUCAUCAUAGGCCUGAAAAUGGUGGUGCAAGUCGCUCUUCCACUGCUUGUACCUCUCAGCGAAGAGUCGGUUGACGUACGUCAACGACUCUUCGUCGAGAUCCUCCAAGUUAUAGUUCGUCUGCAAUCAAUUAAUUAGAUACGUUAAGUAAUAGAAAUAUACACAAUUUUAAAGAAAAAUAAUGAAAAUGUAAGGUACAUACCGACAACUGGCCGUGAAUCUCCGCCUGGAUCUCGUCAGGCAUGACCCUCCAAGACUUCCAUUGCAUCGGGCAAUGGGUCCGCACGACGUGGCCAAUGUCGUGGGCCAAGGAGCUAUGCAACUUCGCCGUCGGUGCAGCACGAUGGCGCUCGUCGUAUCCGAUGCUGAUACGACUGUUGGUCACCCGGGUGACCUUCGCCGUCUUCAGCUGACGACACGGUCCUCGGGUGUUCCUCUUCGCUGCAAAGAAAUAAGGUAUUAAUGUUAAAUAAAAAAACAUUGUCAAAUUUCAAUAUAAAAUUAACAAUACAAAAGUGUAGUUAUACCUGGCUGUGAUCCCGAGGCACCAGUACCGUCGGUCGAUGUCGUGUCGAUGGUGUCGGUGGGCCGGUGCCGCCGCCUAGCACUAGCUGGUUGCGCCACGGAUGACGCAGAUGACACAGGCGCCUGGGGCGCCCCGGGACCAACCACCACGUGGUCCAACAAAGCAGGAGCAGUGGCAGCAGAUGCCGACUGAGCCAGGGGAUCCGAACUCGGUGCAGUCGUCAUCGACCUACCACGUCUAAUCAAGUCUGACAUCUGCACAUAUAAUUUCAUUCAGAAUGUAAACUAAUUAAUUAAAAGCAUAGCCUGACCUAGGGUUUGGAAUUUCGGAGUAUCCGGGACUCCGAUCAACGAUCGGUCGAAUCCUAAACGAUCCUAGAAACACAAAGGUACAACUACGCGAGUUUCAGUUCGAUCCAACGGUCCGAACAUAUCAAACCUGGAAAUCGCACAAUAGGCGAAAUUCGAUCAAGACUCAAACGGUAACCAAAUUCAAAUCCGAGCAAACCUACGCGCUCGUGACAAACAGGGGAUCGCUCUGGGACACAAUGCCCCACUGCCACAGCAUCCCACGCGCCGGCAGCGCGUGGGUGUCCAAAGCGAUAACAUUCGCCGGAAAAUUCUAAAAACUAACGGCCAAGGUUCCUACCCUAGGUUGAAAACAAUAUUUGGCGCCACUUUUGUUCUCGGACCUACCCCGAAAAAUGGCCGGAAGUGGCCGGAUUUGAAAUUGCCAAACCGGCCAAAACCUAGGGUUUUAAUUCCUAUUUCCUAUACCCAUCAGCUAGAGCACAAAAAAUAGUCGAGAAAUCAUACCUCAGGCGUCGGAAAUGGUGGCCGGAGGAGAGAGAAAACGGCCGGCGAGGAAUCGGUGAAAAACCGACGAUGUGCGACGGCAGGCUCGACGGCGAAGGCAGGGGAGGCUAUGGCAGGAGCGGCGGUGGCUGAGGUGACGGCGGAGAGAGAGGGCUGAGGUGACGGCGGAGAGAGAGGCAAACGGAGGAAAAAACCAGAAAUGGGGAAGAAGGAGGCAUCGCGACGUUUCUGCAAAUUUUUACGACUUUGCGCGACGAAUCACAUCAUUCGUCGCGCAAAAUGCUAUUAAUGAAUCUUGCGCGACGCUAUAUCCGUCGCGCAAGAUCUGUCAGAACGCCAAAUUCUGAAAGUGGAUUAGGGUCUGUAAGUUUUGCGCGACGAAAUAGACAUACUUCGUCGCGCAAAAGGCUGUCUUUCCGCCAAAAUUUUGGGAUUUAGGGUUUAGCGGGAGGCUGAAACUGAAGGGUUUGCGCUUUUGCGCGACGAAGACGGUAAACGUCGCGCAAUGGUAACCUUGCGCGACGGAACGUAUUAUAUUCGUCGCGCAAAAGGCUAUCUUUCCGCCCAAAUUUUGGGAUUCAGGGUUUAGCGGGAGGCUGAAGGGUUUGCGCUUUUGCGCGACGAAGACACUAAACGUCGCACAAAAGGCUGUCUGCUGAAAUGAAUGGUUUCUGCUUUUGCGCGACGAAGACAAUAAACGUCGCGCAAAACGUUGUCGUUCCGCCAACAAUUUGGGGUUUAGGGUUUAGUGUGAAAACUGGCGCCCAGAUUGCGCGACGAAGAGUACAUAUUUCCUUCGCGCAAUCUAUUUCACUUUCACUUUGCGCGACGGAUAUGUUGGUUCGUCGCGCAAUCUUCAAGAUUUUCAUUGAAAUUUUCACUAAGUGUUCAAAGGGGAUGGAGGUGUGAAAACUGGCGCCCAGAUUGCGCGACGAAGAGUACAUAUUUCCGUCGCACAAUCUAAUUCACUUUCACUUUGCGCGACGGUUAAAUUGUUCGUCGCGCAAAAUGUAGACCCUAAACCCCCUUGUAAACCCUAAACCCUGAACCCUAAGCCAUAAACCCUAAACCCUAAAAUAGUUUCAAUGAUCCAACCGGCAAACUUAUUGUUUGAAACUUGGAGAUCAUAUACGCCAAAAAUCAAGAAGACCAAACAUUCAGAUAUCAGGGAACGGGACUAAAUAUUUCGACGGUUAUAAAUGAAAAGUCAUGAUUUAACGGUUAUUGUAACUCCGAUUUUGAUCAAUUUUGACAGCAGCAUUUGUUGACCCUAUAUGAAUACAAUGACUGAAUUUGAUCUUCAAUUUCAGAUUUUUACACUAGGGGAUACCACAUAAACGUGAAGUUACAUUUGCACAAAUGUAUAAACAAAUUUUAGGGUUUUUGGUGAAUAUAUGAUUUUGAUAGCACAUGCAGUCUACGAAACAAGUUUCAGUCAUCCAGCCGUCAAACUUGUUUUUUUAGACUUCGAGAUCAUAGACAGCAAAAAUCGGACAAAAAAAACAUUCAGAGAUUAAGCAACGGGGUAAAACUUUUCGACGGUUCUAAAUAAAAAGUGAUGAUUGAACGGUUAAUUUAACUCCGAUGUUGAUGAUUUUUUGCAGCUACAGUCCUACACUCCAUAUGAAUACAAUGAACUACUUCGAUCGCCAAUUUUAAAUAUAUAUGUGUGUAUAUAUUAUACUAUAACGUUACCUAAUAUAUAUUUGCGCGACGAAAGUUUGCUUAUCGUCGCGCAAAAAUGCCAUACGCGACGCAUGUAUAUAUGCGUCGCGGAAACUAUGCGCGACCAGUUGUAUUCGUUGCGCAAACAUUACGCGACGCUUAUGUAUGCGUCGCGUAUGGUAUGUUUGCGCGACGAUAUGGAGCCCUUCGUCGCGCAUGGAUUUGGCGCCAUAAAUCCUCAUUGAUUUCAAAUUGUGUAUGCUUUGUAUUUUUUAGAAAGGUUUUGUAUUCAUCAUUUUUUAUGCUUUGUAUUUUGUGGAAAGGCUUUGAAAUAUUCAUUUCUUUUGUUAUUUUUAUUGAAGCUUUAACUUGUUCUGUUCCGCAGAAAAUUCCAAUGAAGUUUGUGAUGAAAUAUGGAGAAUGAAUACACAACUACAUAUGGACAACUACACAUAUUCAAAGAUUUGUAUUACACAAAAUUAAUACACUAACAUAAUAAAUUUACAAAUAAAUUCAUUAUUCAUCAUCUGAACUAUAAUAACUUUCGUUAUCGUCGCUAGCUUUAACUUGUUCUGUUCCGCAGAAAAUUCCAAUGAAGUUUGUGAUGAAAUCUGGAGAAUGAAUACACAACUACAUAUAGACAACUACACAUAUUCAAAGAUUUGUAUUACACAAAAUUAAUACACUACAUAAUAAAUUACAAAUAAAUUCAUUAUUCAUCAUCUGAACUAUAAUAACUUUCGUAUCGUCGCUAUCAUCACUCUCGGUCUCCCAAUCUUCUUCCUCCUCCUCCUCUAUAACUGCAUCAUCGGCGUUGCUAGGGCCCACUGCAACAUCGUAUCGGGGAAGAUCACCGAGGUCAAUUGUAAUUGACUGAAUCGGUAUUUCGACUGAAGACACUCCUUCUAUUUGAAACGGUUCUUGUAUAACAUUUGUAUCUCGAAGUGUUUCCGCAUCAUUUUCCAUUGAAGAUUCUAAACGAUGGUCAGCCACAUUGUCGACGUCGUUGUCACUUGGGUCUAGUUCUGGUAUAUUAUACACGUUCCUAUGAUCCAUCUUCUGCACAACUUUCCACCCGUUCCCGGCUUUAGGGUCAUCUAGAUACACAAUUUGGGACGCCAUGUUUGCCAAAAUGUACGGGUCGUCAUCAUACCAAGUUCUGUUAAUAUUCACAGACAGUACUCCAUGGUCGAUUUUAACACUUCCCGCCCUAUUUGGGUUGGUAUCGAACCAUCGACACUUAAACAUGAUGACUUGGUAUCGAUCUUUGUAAAGCAAUUGCACGACAGUUGUCAGUUUGCCAUAGAAAUCAAUGUCUGUACUUUCGCCUCCACCUGGGACAUGAACACCGCUAUUUUGCGUACACAACUUGUCAUCUCGUGCGGCCCCUAAAAAUUUGACGCCGUUAACAUUACAACCCGAGAACAAUUCAGCGCGAAUUGGGCCGAACGCCAAGUUAUAUAACUCAUCACUGUAAGUGGGGGAAUUCGAUGAUUUCAAUUUAUUCACCUAAUAGUAUACAAAACCAUUUACAUGUUAGUCUGACAAAAUUAAAUACUAAAAUUUAUAUUUGUCAAUUACAAAACACUUAUAACUUACAGAAUCCAAAAACCAUUGUGGAAAUAAUUCACGGUGUUUCCGGGCAACCAAAUGUGAUGGAUGUUCUCGCUUCAUCAUCUGUUCAUGCUCAUCUAAGUAGGCCAUUAUCUCAUCACAAUUGUUCAGUACGAACCAAUGCGCUACCUCCAUGUCAUUUCUAGAAAACGACUCUCCUCGUCCAGGAUCUCCAAAUGGUCGUGCGCUUUGGGCAAAAACAGAAAGUUUUUCAUUUCUCAUACCUCCGUCAUUAUUGCGGUGAGGACGAUUGAAAACCGUCUCCACAUCUUUUAAAUACAUUCCACAGAAAGUAAGCGACUCAUAUUGAACCCAAGCCUCUAUAAUUGAUCCUUCGGGCUUUGCCCUGUUGCGUACACUUUUUUUCAGCUCUCCGAGAAGCCUGCCAAAAUAAAACGAUAUGAUACAAAUUAGCAAAGUGUCGAUAAUGAUGCAUACACAAAUGAUAAAGAUUAUAUACCUUUCUAUUGGAUACAUCCAGCGAUAGUUGACAGGACCAGCAAGCAAUGCCUCUUCUGGCAAGUGAACCAUCACGUGCAUCAUACUUAUAAAGAAAGCUGGAGGAAAUAUCAUCUCAAACUUGCAUAGGACUUGGACAAUGUCAUGGCGCAACUGAAACAUGUCUGUCCUUCGCAAUGUUUUUGCCGUCAGUUGGGAAAAAAAUCUGGAUAACAACAUGAUUGGCUUCACCACAUCUUCCGGCAGUAAGUGUCGAAUACCCACAGGAAGUAGGCGUUGCAUGAACACAUGGCAGUCAUGGCUCUUAAGUCCAGUAAAUUUACCCCCAUCGACAUUCACGCAACGUGCGAUAUUAGAAGCAUACCCAUCGGGAAAUUUGACAGACGAUACAAACUUUAGAAACUCCUUUUUGUCAUUCGGUUUCAUAGAAAAGAAUGCAAGAUCCCUUCUAGCUUUAUCACUGUCCCUAUUCAUCCAUAAACCCCUUCGUAUGCCCAUUCUUUCCAAAUCAAGACGAGCUUUGAUCGUGUCCUUCGUCUUCCCCUCGAUAUCUAGAAUCGUGCCCACCAAUGUGUCGAAAACAUUUUUCUCAACAUGCAUCACAUCUAGAUUGUGCCUCAAUUUCAGUUUCGACCAAUAUGGGCGCUCAAAAAACAUAGACUUGUGCGUCCAGUUCAAAUGUGUAGAAGGUCGGGUCCGACUAACUGUUUUCCCGAACGGAGCAAAAUCCAAACGGUUCAGCUGUUCCAAGAUCUCAUCACCGGACCAUUCUCUAGGUCUGAGGCGACGCUCUGUGUUCCCGUCGAACUCUUUAUCUUUUUCUCGCCACUCGUGGUCCCAUGGCAACCAUCUCCGAUGACCAAGGUAACAAACUUUUCCCGCGUGCCAACCAGAAGUUACAUCUUCCUUGCAUACAGGACAUGCCAUAUAACCCUUUGUGCUCCACCCAGAAACCAUUGCAUAUGCUGGAAAAUCAUUCACAGUCCACAUAACUGCUGCUCGCAAAGUGAACAUCCUCCCAGUUGAUUUAUCGUACGUGCGAACACCGUUUGUCCAUAAAUCCUUCAGCUCAUCAACCAGAGGCCUUAAGUACACAUCAAUUGACCUGCCAGGAUCCUCAGUUAUCAAAACAGUCAUCAUCAUGUAUUCUUUUUUCAUGCAUUUCCAAGGCGGCAAAUUAUAUGGGAAUGCGAAAAUCGGCCAAGUGCUGUGGUGUUGGUUUAGAACCCCAUACGGAUUGAAUCCGUCAGUGGCAAGUCCCAAUCUAACAUUUCGGGGAUCAGCAGCAAAUUCGGGGAACGUUCGAUCGAACUCUUUCCAUGCCUCCCCAUCUGCAGGAUGCCGCAUCACAUCAUCGUCUACCCGUUUUUCCUUAUGCCAUCUCAUGUCUGUGGCAGUAUGCGUUGACAUAUACAAUCGCUGCAACCUAGGUUUAAGGGGCAGAUAACGCAUGACUUUUUGUGGUAUCUUAGUCGUUCUAUUCUGGGAUGUCAGUUUGAACCUCGACUCAUUGCAUAUAGGGCAUGUAUCCAACGUUUCAUGCUCUUUGUAGAAUAACAUGCAAUUGUUUUUGCAAGCGUGGAUUUUUUCAUAACCCAAUCCAAGACCGUGCAACACCUUCUGUGCAUGUUUAUGGUCUUUCGGCAAACAAUUGUCCGUCGGAAGCAUUCUCUUGAAAACCCCCAAAAAGUAAUCAAAACACAAGUUCGACAUACGAUACUUUAUUUUUCCGUGCAUUAGCUCCACAAUGGCAGUGAGAACGGAAAACCUCUCGCACCCCGGGUAUAACUCUUGGUUGGCAUUUUUUAACAGUUUUUCAUACUGUUCAAACUCCGCACUGUCUAUUGGUGUAGGCACGUCAUCUUCCCCUUCCUGAUUGAUGUUGGUCGAUGCGAAUGGAAAAGCAUCCUGUAUAAUACCCAUGACUUGAUCAUUAGGAUCCACAAUAGGUUCAACAUUGUCCACUCUCGGGGCAUUUGAAGACGAAGCAUGGUCUACUUGUUCGCCGUGAAGGUUCCAAAUGCUAUAUGUUUCAAUCAUUCCAUUCCUUACUAAAUGAAAUCCAACAUUUUCAAUUGUCUCCCACAACGUGUUGUUACACCUCCUACAAGGACAACGGAUUCUAGUUGCACCCGGGUUGUGUCUACGUGCAAACUCAAUAAAAUCCUCGAUUCCAUCCAAGUAUUCGUCUGCGCAUCUAUUCGGGUUCUGUAUCCACCUUCUGCUCAUAAUUCCUGAAACCACAAUCACGACACAACAAUCACAACAACUUCAUACGAAGUUAUAAUGUCACCUUAUGCCUCCGGUAAGGGCCCUAUCCCAUUCGGGAAUGCAUAGUCCUGUCACGUAACCUACGGCUACAUGAGAUUAGAUUUCGACGUGGAUUAAUUUCAGCAGCAUCUCGACACAGUUCUUGAAGUGGGCAUAGGUAUAAAUACCUACGUACCACCCGAAGAACGUACCGAGAUGACACCGAAAUCUCCACAAUCGAAACCUAAUCCUGUAGCCGAAGAUUAUGUGACAACACUAUGCAUUACCAAACUGUCCAAAUAAUGGGACAAUUCAAGAAUUAAUUGGACCGCAGUCAUGCAUUACGCAUCCAUGCACGAAAUUCAACUAAUCUCGAACGGGAAACUACGUGUUACUAAACAUAAAAAUAAAAGUACGAAGUUAAUUUCAAUUAACUUCGUACAUCACAACACAUUGUGCUAUGUCACGCACAAUUUCACAACAUUAUACACAUAUAACUUCACAAAAAAAUUACAAACAUAACAAACAAACUUUUACAAUAACAUACCUUCUCAAUCGUUCUCCACCAAUCACAAAUAUCCCUAACGAUAACAAAAUUAAUAGCGUUACUACGAAUUUACAUUAAUACAUUUAAACUAACGACAAAAAAUACAUACCCAAUGAACGUACUGAAUUCACAGUAGAGCAACGGCAGAGAGAGUGAGAGAGAGGUAGAAUGCAGUGGGAGAGUGAGAGAGAGGCAGAAUGCAGAAACUGCAUUCUGCCUCUGCAAUGGAACUGGCUAAAAUGAAGAAGAAGGACUUUGCGCGACUAACAAUCCAAUCCGUCGCGCAAAAUGCCGUCGCGAAAACCCACUUUUCCGUCGCACAAAAAAACAUUUCCGUCGCGCAAUUACCUGCCGACAUCAGGUUUUUUGCGCGACGAAUACAAUUAUCCGUCGCACAAACAUCCGUCGCGCAAAUAACAUUAUUCGUCGCGCAAGGUUUAUAUUACGUCGCGCAAAUAACACUUAUUUCGUCGCGCAAGAAAUUACACUUUACGCGACGAAGGUAAUUCCGUCGCGCAAAAAAGUUUUUUCCACCCUGCAUUUUGCCGCCAAAAUUAAGUAACCCUCGUUUUCUUACGCGACGGUACAUAUUUCCGUCGCGCUAAGGCGUCUUUUGCGACGAAAAUGUUCGUCGCGCAAGAUUCUGGCGCCAAAAACAUAAACUGGGGAUUUUUCCCCGACCUUUGCUCGACGAAAUUAGUUUUGGUCGCGCAUAGAUUGUUUGCGCAACGAAGAUUGUUCGUCGCGCUAGUGUUCUGCUGUUUGCGCUACGGUAUUUUUUUUUCGUCGCAAUAGUGAUUUUUGCGCGACGAAAAUAUAUUCGUCGCGCAAACGUCCGUCGCGCAAAUAGUAAAUCGUAGUAGUGUGAUUUGGUUUAGACUUGGUUUAAUUAUCAUUGUUGUGGUUGGUUCACCAAAAAGAUUUGGCUUAGAAUUACCAGUUUUGUUGUUGGUUUAGUUAUGCUUGGCAUUUGAGGAUCCUAUGCUUACUUGUAUGGGUAAUACAUUUUAUUGAUCGUUUCAUAUACUAAUUAUGAACUUUUAGUUCCAUUGUGCAUUUAAGAGUACACAUAUUUCAUAUGUAAUUCGAAAGUUUGUCGCUGAAAUUUCUGAGAAUUUGAAACUAGAUAAGCACACCUUGCACAAAGUUCAUAUAUUUUCUUCCAGCAAGUCUGUCUAUUAACCCCCCUUAUCUGAAAUUAAUUGUUAAAAGUUCUGAUUCAUCUUUAAUCAUUGUCUUACCCUUGUUGAAUAACACUCCUCAUUCUAAUUUAUAUUCGAAGUUUGAGGUUUCAAUUUCAAUUGUGGGCUUUGAUUUUACAGAUUUUGUUUGUCAAUUUCAAUUUGGACAAAGCAUAUGCAAACAAAGUAAGGCAUUAUCUAUUAUUUGGAUCAUUUCCAUAUGUUUAUAUGUUUUUAAUAUCAUUUGCCUAUGUAGUUGACAUGUUAUAACAUUUUCGUAGUGUUGAAUAUAUAUAUAUAAUAAUUUUAUUUUAGUGGAUGUGAGAUCUCAGUUUGUUGCUUUAUAUAAUUAUUUCUUUGCAAUUUAAUUUUUUUUAUCAGUCAUACUAUUGUUGACGGCUAAAAACCAUCAAGAAACAACUCUUAAGUUUUUUAAAAAAUAAAUAAAUAAAUAAAGAUUUGUUGAUGCUUAAAAAGCAUCAAGAAAAGAUAGUUUCUUGACGGUUUUGUGACGUUUCAUAACCGUCAUGAAACAUUACAUUUUGACGAACGUCUUUCUGAUAGUGGCAUCCGUGACGCUUUCCGAGCCAUCAAUUAAGGGCUAUCGUGAUGCUUUUUAGUUGUCAGCAAAAGGUGUUUUUCUUGUACUGUAUUCACUCAAAAUCGUUUUUCAUUUAGGGUUGCUAGUGUGGUUGAAUGCCAUUUGUUUUGUUAAUGAAUAUUAUACAUUAUGGAUUUUUGUAGAAAUGUCGCUUGAAAUUAUACCUCAGUUUCAAUUUGUCACCUUAAAGAAAAAUUUAAGAGAAAUGUCACCUUAAUUUUUCAAAAUCCACGAUUUGUCAUCUCACUUUAACAUCAUCCAAUUUUCCAUCUAUUUUAAGGGUAUUUUAGUCUUUUCAUUUUCAAGGGAAAAAAAGAGAGGAAGAAAAAGACCUCUCUCUUACUUUCUCCCCCAACCCAACCCCACCCGCCCCCCAAAACACAUCGCAUAGGACCGCCUCCCCCUUCCCCACAUUUCUUUUUUCUUUUUGGCCUACUUUUCCACUAUGUUUAUGUUGAAGGAUCUAAAGUUUUCUUGGUCACCAUCUAUUACGUAGGCUACCGACUUGUUGGUUUGGGUGGGUUGAGGGAAUUUGUGUGUGGAGGGCAGGUGUUCAUGUUGUGUGCACCAAGACCUUAUCGUUGAUGAACUAUGUGACGGCACACACACAAACUCGUUGAGAAUAAAACAAACAUACCACCAAGAGAGUAAAACAAACACACAAGGACACAAAGAUUUAUAGAGGUUCGGCCUCCUGCCUACGUCUUUUUGGUGAUUCACUCGAGAAAUUCACUAGUAUGUAAAAAUAACUUUGGUUACAACUGAACCCCCUUAGCCCUCACAAGAACCUUAGAUCUCUUUUCUCUCACCCUUGCUCAAACCCUUUGAUGCCCUUGUAGACACUCAAGAAUUCACCCUUGAAUUCUAUCUUGUGUUACAUCUUCUCUUCUCCCUUUUGUUAACCUAACCCUAAAAGUCCUAUUUAUAAUGCAUAGGACUUAAGUUACAAGUUAACUUGGAAUAGGAAACAUAAAAUACCCCAAAAAUUGGAGAAAAUCUGUCCAAAUCUAGCCUGCAAAAUCAUCCUUCUGCCGCUCGAGCUGCCGGUGGCGCUCAUGGGAUGGGGGAAUUGGAGAUUUUCUUUUCAAUUUUAAUUGUUUAAAAGAUAUACAAUUUUUUAUUAUAAUAAUUUUUCCAUUUUUAAAAUACACUUGAAAAUAGAAAGCUUAAAAUGCCCUUAAAAAUAGAUGGAAAAUUGGAUGGUGUUAAAGUCAGAUGACAAAUCAUGGAUUUUGAAAAAUUAAGGUGACAUUUCUCUGAAAUUUUUCUUUUAAAAGUGACAAAUUGAAACUGAGGUAUAAGUUCAGGCGACAUUUCUACAAAAAUCCCUAUACAUUACAAUAUUAUAACAAUAAAAUUGGCUAAAAUUGAUAUGUUCCCUCUUUUCUUUUCUUUUUCUCUUUUCCUUUUCAUUUUAUGCUUUGUUGCUAUUGCUAUGUUUAUCCUACAAAUAUAGCAACUUCUCCACCAUUCAUUUGUUAGUGACUACGAUGCUUAGUAACUUCUUCAGCUCCCCUUAUUUCCAUGUACUAACCAGGGACACCAGGUCAGCAUCUUCGGUAAGAAUCCUAACUCAAUCAAACAAUGACAUCUGUAAAUAUUCAAAAUUGGAAUUUGCAUUGUGAUAGUUGAAAGCAUCCUUGUCCCAAAAAAAGCCAAAAAAUAAAAUAAAAUUGAGAGCAUUAAGUCCUUUUCAAAUUAUGCUAAUAUGCAAAAUUGGAAUUUUGAUGGAGUUGCUUCCUUGACUUUUCCACCUUUGUAUCCAGUCCACUUUGCACAAGGAGCCAAGUUUGAGAGAUAGUUUUCUGUAUUUACACCAUCCAGGAGAAAAUUAAAAAACUAUUUCAUGCCAAACUAACUACGGAUUCUUGCAAAGGACCCAUUAGUGUAGUGGUUUGGAGUAUUUACUCCCUCAGGCAAGGUCUUGGGUUCGAGUCCUAGCAUUCAUGUUGUGUGUGUGAGUUUAAUAUGCUAUCACCCCUUCCAAUAGGAAAGGACCUCAAAAAAAAAAAAAAAACUACAGAUUCUUUAAUUGAAAGAAACCCCAUAUUAAUCAUCCUUUGGCACAUAAAUGUUUGGUAAUUGGCAUUAAAGUAUCUAAAGGUUACGAAAUUAAAGAUUUUAAUGCAAACCUAAAAUUGGAAAAGAGGGCACCAAUUCAUGUAAAAUAUGGUGUACUUAGUAGAUCCAACAUAUUUUUUUAGCAACCAAGGACAAUCAUCAUUUUUUUUUUUAAGAACCAAGGAUAGCUUACAUUCUAGUUUGUCCAUCAUGUCAACACAUUUAUAAUUAAAACUUCUUUUUUGGUGAGGUUUCAAUUUUUGUCACUGUAACAAGACCACAAUUGCCAUUCAGUAUGCUAACAUUGUCACUAUGUUUGCCAAUUGCAUAUUAUCUAGAACAUAAAGGCUUUGGUGUUUUGUAUAUCCUCGGGGUGCCAAACCUGUCUUUAUAAAAAUGGUCCUUAUGAUACUACUUUAACAACAAAAAAAUAUAAUAAACUAGGCCUUUGUAGUCACUGAACGAAUGUUUUCUCAUAGAUAUGACUAUUUAAAUGUAAUUACGGGAUUAAAACAUUAUAAUAAAUUGGAGUGAACCAUAACAUUAUAUAUGAUCCAAUCCUUUUCAUAUAUUUUUGUUCAAGACUUUGUUUUAGAAUGCUCUUUUACUAAUUUGGUACAGGUCCCUAAAAUCUACGCCUUUAUGAGGCAACGUCUUUAUUUCUUUGGUUAUUCCAGUUUAGAAUAUAUUUGUACAAAUGAGAUGACUCCCAACAUAAAGUCACAUUCAACCAAAAAGCAUGAAGUCACACACAAAAAGAACACGGACAAUUGCUAAGUUUAUCUUGUAUCCUUAUUUUAUUGAUCCAACCCAAUUGAAAAAUAAAAAAGAUGAUAUAAUAUAUUGUUCACUGCUUACAUCCAUGAGUAAAGUCCUCCAUUUGAAAUUGCGUGAUUAUACAAAAUUGGAAUGAAAAAAGAAAAUCCUACAACUAAAUUUGAUAUAUUCCUUUUCAUUUUAUGUUGGAUGUUAAGUUUUCUUGUUUCUUGUUGAAAAGAAAAAUGAAAAGAAAUAAAUAAAUUACACAGCUAGCAACUUCUCCACCUUCCCUUCUUCCCAUGUACUGACAACAAGGGAGGCCUUCAAUCCAAAAUAAAGACAAGGGAUGCCAGGUCAGCAUCUCAGAUAAGUAUCCCAACCAAAACCAAUCAAAUAAUGACAUAUGUAUCUCUUUUUGUGUUUUGUUCUAUUUCUCUUUGAAUUAACUGCGAAGUUUCAUAAGCGUGUCCUCCUUUUGAAAUUGUGUAUUAUUCAAAAUUGGAAUUUGCUGGUCAUACUUGAUAUAAGCUAAAACAGUUUCCAACAUCUUGUACCAUUUUUUUCCAGUGUGGGUCAUAACUUGAAGAAGCCCACCGACAAUUUCUCAAAAGCUAUUACCAUCCAACUUUGAAAAAUAAAAGUUUCAAAAGUUACCCCAAACAACAGCCCUUGAAAGAGAGUUUUCCAAGGCUAAAGAUUACAAGGAUGUUAUUGGCACAUGCAUUAACGUGUGACAAGAAGUUAGUUAUAUUUAUAAAGUAAAAGAACGAAGUACAUAACAUGUAAGUUGAUGCCAAAUAUUUGAUCAACAGAGCUAAACAUAAAACCACGACAAUAUAACGUUGUUCACCAAAAAUUGUGUUUCGUUGAGGGUCAGUAGUGUAGGUUUCAAGAUACGAUUUAUUUUGUUAAAGAAUAUUCUGAUAUUCUAACAAUAAAAUUGGCUCAAUUUGAUAUGUUUCUUUUUUUUUUUGUUUUUGUUUUCCCUUUCAUUUUAUGCUUUGUUGUGCUAUUGCUAAGUUUAUCCUAGAGACCAGGGAUGCUUAGCAAGUUUCUUCACCUGCCCUUCUUCCCAUGUACUAACUAGGGAUACCAUGUCAGAAUCUUAGAUAAGAAUCCCAACCCAAUCAAACUAUGACAUCUGUAAGUAUUCAAAAUUGGAAUUUGCAUUGUGAUAGUUGAGUGGAAGAAUCGAUUAAGGCUUGAGUGGAAGACAAACUUCAGUGGAGGAAAGUAAUUAAUCUCACAAGACAUAGCCCAUCAGUUGGCUCAUUUUUCUUGAGUGUGUAGUCCUGGCCUUGAGGCGAGGCCACAUUGCUUUGGAGAUUUCUUUCUACUUGGUGAAAUUAUAAUUUAGAAGAAGCAAACUGCGUUUUGCAAUUUGUGCGAUUCAAGCAUAUCUGACACUAGUAAUUAGACCAUAAUCUUUGUCCGACCAGAAAAUAAGAAAAGUUGUCUUGUACCAUUUCUGCCAGUGUGGGUCCCACCCACCCCAUACGAGUAAUUUGAAGAAGUCCACCGACAAUUUCCCAAAAGCUUUGGCGUCCAACUUUGCCGACCCCAUCCCCAUGUGAGGCCAUAGAAAAGUUUUCAGCCACAAUCAAAGAAGGGAACAGUCCUUGAAAAGAGAGGGUUUUCCAAGGCCAAGAUUACAAGUUCAUGUUAUUUACAGUCUCAAAAAGCUUCCAUACUUGUUUACAAACCUGUAUUUUCAAGUUGUGCUAGCCUAGCUAUUUGCAAAUCUUGGAAUAUUUUACUUCAUCCAAAUCCCUUGCAGUCUGCAGAGAAGAUAAAAGACAUGGCUUUGAUUGGAGAGGCUCUUAUCUCUGCUUCCGUCCAGGUGUUGUGCGACAGAAUUACUUCACCCGAGUUCGUUGACUUAUUUUGGCACAAGAAACUCGAUGAGCCACUCCUCAGGAAGCUGAGGACGACACUGUUGGCCUUGAACUUGGUGCUCAAUGAUGCAGAGGGGAAGCAACUUGUGAACCGAGAUGUGAAAAAGUGGCUUGACGAGCUCAGACAUGCUGUCUUUGAUGCGGAGGACUUACUGGAUGAGAUUGACACUGAAGCUUUGCGAUGCAAGCUGGAAGAAGGUGAAGAUCAAACUCACAAAUUUACCAAUAAGGUGCGGAACUUGCUCUUUUCUCCUCGUAGUCAUUUUUAUCAGAGCAUGAAUGAUAAGAUAAAAGAGUUACUAGCAAGGUUAGAAAACUUUGUACAACUGAAAAGUGCUCUUGGUCUGGGAGAAGUUGCUGGGAGGAAGGUUUCGCAAAGAACUCAAACAACCUCCUUGGUUCUUGAACCUUAUGUAUAUGGUAGAGAUGAAGUCAAAGAAAAGUUAUCAAAAGUGUUGCUAUCUGAUGAAGCAGGCAAGGAUCCUGUGUCUUUCCUCACCAUUGUUGGAAUGGGUGGGGUUGGCAAGACAACCCUUGCUCGAAUGCUUUACAAUGACGAUAAGGUGAAAGGGCAUUUUAAACUUAAAGCUUGGGCUUGUGUUUCAGACUACGAUGAUUAUAUUAAAAUUACUAAAACUCUCCUUGAGGCAGUCACUUCAAAGCCUUGUAACACGGCAAAUCUGAAUUUGCUUCAAAAAGAUCUAAGAGAGCAAUUGAGGGGAAGGAAAUUUUUAUUUGUGUUGACCUAUGGAAUGAGAAUAAUGAGGAUUUGAACUACCUUAGAGCUCUUUUUAUUACUUUAGGAACAAUGGGAAGUAAAGUCAUUGUAACAACACGGAACAAAAAUGCAGCAUCUGUCAUGCAAAAUGUUCAUAUUCAAUACUUAGAACCAUUGUCGUAGGAGGACUGCUGGUUAUUACUUGCAAAACAUGCAUUUGGAAAUGAAAAGUGUAGUGCACAUUCAAACUUGGAAGACAUUGGAAAGCAAAUUGCACUCAAGUGCAAAGGGUUGCCUUUAGCUGCACAAACACUUGGGAGUUUGUUACGUUGCAAUAUGGAUUUCGAGUACUGGAAUAGAAUACUAAAUGAUAGUUUUUGGGACCAACCCUAUGAUAAAACUAACAUUCUUCCGGCUCUAGGGUUGAGUUACCAUUAUCUUCCUACUCAGUUGAAACGAUGCUUUGCUUAUUGUUCAAUUUUUCCAAAGGAUUAUGAGUUUGAAAAGGAAGAUAUAGUUCAAUUAUGGAUUGCAGAAGGUAUAAUUCCACAAGCUGAGAAUGGAAAAAGGAUGGAAGCAUUGGCUAGAAUAUACUUUGAUGAGCUGUUAUCACGAUCGUUGUUUCAAAAGUCAAGUAAAU